GCUCGUUUUCGAUGUUGCGACUUUCGAAUCGUCGAUCGGCCCCGUUAAACUUGAUCUAGAGUAUUUGAAGUACCUAGAAAAUAAAUUUUAUGAUUUUACGAUAUCAUUUGCCUAGUGAACGAAGGGGCUCAAAAUCAACGGCUGAAAAUAAAAAUCUUACAAAAUGUAAUAAUAUUAUAUUAAAAUUUUAAAUCAAAGAUAUUGAUCUUGUUUUAUAUAGUAUAAAGAAUUUUCUAUCAAAAUUUCACGUGAUUUGGAUAUUUCUAUACCGUUAAACUUGCAAACGGCUCACUACGGCCAUUGAAAUUUGUUGAUUUUGAGCCCAUUCGAUCACUAGGCAAGUGAUAUCGAAAAAUAAUAAAAUUUAUUUUUUAGGUACUCCAAAUACUCUAGAUCAAGUUUAACAGAGCCGAUCGACGAUUUGAAAGUCGCAACAUCGAAAACAAGCUGGAAGCACGGAAGGCUCCGUGCUUCCGAUAGCAUAGUAGCCUCACUCUAUAUAUAUAUAUAUAACCGGAGAAAUACUAAAAUAAAACAAGUGUUUUAAACUAGAUAAAUUUACUUGGAUCCAAGAACUUGAGUAUAUAUUUUUCUCCUUUUCUGUUACAACUCCUCCAAAUAAUUAUCAAGUCUUUUUUUUUUUUUCUUGUUUAUUUUUUUUUCAGUAAUAGGGUGACCCCAUGGGAAGCCUGCAUGUCUUGACACAUAAAAGCCAACCGCCCAGUCUGGUCAUAUAAAAAUUGCUUCUAAUAUAUCUUGUUAGUUUAAAUGUUAUAGAAAACUACAACUAUAAAUUAAUAAUUUAUUAAAUAUUUAUUUCUUUUACAAAGUGAUUAGAUAUAUAAUUUUUUAUAAUUUGUCUCUACUGUCAUCGCAACCGCACCAAUUUCAACAUAAUUUUACCAGCUGCAUUUGAACCCACUCUUGCAAUUUCAUGACCCAGUUAAACCUCCUUUUGCAGUUUCACUAUAAUAAAAACGGUCUAUAGCGACACUUUUAAAUAUAGGUACAUAUCAAAAAAGUGCUGCUAGCUAAAAUUACCGACACUUUUAAAAAGUGUUGCUAUAUAUGGGGUCGCUAGGUAUAUAGUGACAGUUAAAGAGUGUCGCUAUAACCAAAAAGAGUGCUGCUAAUUUACCAACACUUAUUUAAGUAUUUAGCAACUGCUGAAACUCUAUCUCGUUGGCUGCGGUGGCGGAGGAGGACGACAGUAAAGACUCUUCAUCUAGAAUUUCAGUGGAUUGAGUGAAGAGAGAAGAAAAGAAGGUAAUUGAUUUUUCUUUUUUUUUUUUUCUUUUUUGUUUGUAAUCGGGCCAAAUGGACUGGGUGUAGUGGGUUGAGUAGAGUAAUCUUUUAUUUUUGGUUGGAUUGGGUUUUAUAUUUAAGUAUUAGUAGAUGUGUUUUUAAGUUUUAGCAUAAAUGGGACACUUACUCAAAAGUGUCGGAAACAUGUGUUCCUAUAACCUAAUUAUGUUGUAGUGUUUAAACUGUAGCAAUUGAAUAGUAAUGCAACAACCAAAAUAAUUAAUAAAAUUAAUAUUAAUUCUUUAUGUACUUAAAUCCAUAAUACAGUAAUAACUACAAACAAUCAAACAAUAGUAAUCCAAUCCCAUCAAAAUUAUCAAACUUUAUGGAUGAAAUUAUUGGAGUUAAAAAAACUGAAAAGAAAUUAAAAAAAAAAAACCGAAAGAGAUCGAGUUUAAAACAUAAUUUAAGAUAUAUCUUUUGAGUAAUACUUCAAUACACCGUGUAAAUCUUGACCAUUUAUUUUUUUAAAUAGAUGGUUAAGAUGUAAUAUGAUUUUGGAGGUAACCUACUAUUCAGGCAUAGGUACCAUUCACCAGUUACUUAUCUAAAAGGUAUUUUGGUCUUAGAAAAAUAUUUUGGUCUACAAAACCGAUUUUAUCCGGCUAAGAAUACUAUAACCUUUUCAAAUAUCUACAACAAUAGUUGGAAUUCAAAUUACAACUAAGUUGUAAAUUUAAAUGCAAAACAAUGUAAAAAACUUAAUUAUAAAUCAAAUUCAACUUUUUUUUGAGUUGGAUGCUAAACAAAUUGAUUGAGUAUUAUCUAAUUUGGUAAGUAACAAAACUAAAUAAAAUACUUAAUAUUAUAGGAUACUAACAAAUUUGAUAUAUACUACUAAUUUUUUUCCAAUAUUAUCAUAUUAACUAAUUCAAAUCGAUAACUUAUUCAAUAGGUUACUUUAUGUAAAAUUCAACUAUACCCUUUACUAAUUAAGAGUUUGAUUUUAAUAAUUAUGGUGAAGCAUUGCUCAUAUCUUUUUAUCAGAUAUCGUGAUCCGUAUCAACUUCGCUUGUCCAGUAGAACAUAUUGAGCAAAAUCUUCUUCAUAUAUAACCUGCCGAUUUAAAACAUAUUUUGAAAAAAAAAAUUAGUUUUUAGAAAAGAAAUUUAUUGAUAAAAUAGAAUUUUAAUGAAAAAAAAGUAUAUGAAAAAAAAAAAAUUAAAGGGCACAAUCAACUAAUCAACACAGUUUUAAGUAAAGCUCUGCAAAUAUUAUCACCACCCUAAAAAGCAAGGAGGUUCUAAUAUUACAUGAUACAUAUACACAACCACAACUAUUACAGAGUAAACACAAAGCAACAUACACGAGUAUAUAUAUAUAUAGACUUAUACCCACCCAUACACACACUCUCUUUUAUUCUCAGACAAAGUAAACACUCACACGCGCGCAUACACACAAACUAGGACACUUAAUUAUUAAUUUAAAACAUGCAUCAUUUUGCAUUAUAUAUCUUAGUGGCCUCCUCCGGGAAGCUUCUCCUUGAUCUUCUCCAUCAUGCCCUUCUUCUCGUAGCCGCCUUCUGCUGUCGUCGCAGCCGAUGGCGGCGGCGCAGUCGCAGUCGUCGUCGCCGGUGCAGUCUGGCCGGCGUAGCGGUGCUGGUCGUCGGUCUUGUGGCCGCCGGGCAGCUUCUCCUUGAUCUUCUCCUUCACGCCCUUCUUCCUCCGCCCUCCCAUCCCGUCGUCCUCCGACUGCUCACAAAUCACCCAAAAAUAAAUAAAAAACUCUAAAAAUAAAAUCUAAUACAUUUUUUAAAAACUUUAAAAAUAUCGAAUAUAACAAAUCAAAUACAAAUUUUUUGUGUUCAUUUUUAUUCUAUAUAAGGAAUUGGAUCUCGAUCUUUCCGGUUUUUAAUUAUUCGAUUUUAAUUGUUAUAUAUUUUGGCUAUUCAGUUUGUAAGUUUUUCGUUGCCCCUCAAAUUCUAAAAUUCUAAAAUAUUGACUUAUUCUAAUAAUAGAAAUAAAGCUCACAUACCGAGCUUGAGCUGGAGCUGCUGCCGGAGCGACGGUGGCCGCGCUCCCUCCCCGGCUUCAGCUGCCCGUGACUGCCGCCCACGGCCGCCACUCCUCCCUGCGGCUGCGCCGUCCCAUAAGGUCCGACGCCGGUCAUUCCAUGUGUCCCAUGUGUCCCAUGGGCACCGGUGCCGGUGCCGGUCGCAUUAUACGACUCCGGAAUCGGAUUGCCGUACUCAUCGACACGGCGUCCUCCGUGGUGACCGUACUCCGCCAUUUUUUUCAAAUAUAUUUUCGUACAAGCGCAACGAUUAACAAGAAAUCAGUACUAGCUCACUACACUGUGACACACAAGCUGUGUAUACUAAUGCUUAACACUAGACGAAUAGAUGAUGCCUAUGGUGCUCGUUCAUGUGCAUAUUUAUAGAGUUCGUAAAAUUGCACUAAAGCCCCUGAGUUUCACUCAAUUUCAUUUUGAUCCCCGAGCUAUCAAGUUCACGGGAGAAUAAAUUAAUUAUCGGCCAUACCCUAAUAUAUCUCUAUAUUUAUGUUCUGUAUAUUUAUUAAAUAUUUUUUAUUAUAUGUUAAUUCCAAUUUUAUAGUCCAUUGAGCGAAAUUUUGUUUUUCUCGGGUAAAAACAUGACCUUUGGAUUCAAAUGUGAGAUGAAUGAAUUAACUAGGAUGAAAAUUUAAACGAGAUAAUGUUUGAAAAUUUUGAAACUAAAUUGUUGCUUGAUUUAAAACAGGUUGAGUACCAAGCUGAACGAAGACACAAAUUCAGGGACUUUUCUCCAAAUUUCCUUUAUUUUAUAAGUAUUUUUAAUGGGGGUCGGUGAGGGAGGGGAAAAAGGAUGAUGGGCACGUGUGAGCCUAUGCAUGGGUGCACGUUCGACGGUGUGACACGUGUGGAAGUGAGUCACCUAUGUAAGGGUAAUAUUUUUCUUCUUUUUCUUUUUUUUUGGUAUUAAUUAGUUGUAGCAUUGUAUGUGUCAGCGUUUUGGAUAAGGCAUGGGACACUCUAGUUGCCGCGUAGUAGUCAAAAAAAGGCAAAAAAAAAAAAAUUAUUUUUAUUAUUGAUUUUUUUGGGAGGAAUAUAAGCCAAAAUUGCAUAGAAUCGAGCCGUGCGUAAUCUUCAAAGCAUUAAAUUAAGAUGGAUACGAUAAUUUCUAUCUAAAGAAUAUGUUUGAACGUUUGAAUAAAUUAUUCAGUAAUAAUUUAUGCAUUUAAAAAAAAUUUAUUCAUUAAAAUACAUUUUGAAUUUUAAAAUUAUGAAGAGCGUGACAUUGCAGUUCAUAAAUUUUAAUUGAUAGUUACUUUUUUGCUAAAAUUUUUAGAUUGUUGCAAUCAAAUUCAUAUUGAAUUGUUGGUGCUAAUCAUUAAUUUCAAAAGCUCGAAUUAUUAAAAAGAUAUAACUAAUUCAUUUAAAACAUACAUAUAUAAUACUCAUAUAUAGAUUUCGAUUUGUGACUUGACCCUACCGUCUCUUACCACUCCGAAGAUGAUUCGACUGACCUGGCUUCUCUGUUCGAGGCAGGAUGCUCGUCCCUUUAGGCCAAUAGUCCGACAAUAUAAUUCAUUUGACUGAAUGAUGAUUUGUUGUUAAUAUAUCAUAGAUGUGGCAGUAAUGUCGCCUCUCAAUCAUGUUACAAAUAAUUCUACAAAAUAGGCACAAGUAGAAUUUUAUUUCAUUAGUAAAUAAGAAACAAAAAAUUAAUUAAUACGACUAAAAAUUAUAAACAUAGAUUGAGUUUAGCCAUAACCAUGAUAUCAAAAGGAUCUAGAUUUAUGAAGGCACGCCAAGGAUGCUUUUCGAAGAGUAGUUUCGACUGACCUCGAUCGUGCAUAGGAUUCUUCCCGCUCACUACUUUUGAGAUAUGACCAUACUCCUCGUCCGACAAUAUGUGUAUAGAUUUAUGAAAAUAAAUUUUAUAAUUUUUUAAUAUUAUUUAUGUAGUGAUCGAAAAAAUUUAAAAUCAGCAAUUAUGGUAAGCUGUUUGCAAGUUUAAUGGCACAUGACAAUAUCUAUACCUCUAUACCUAUACAUUAUUCUCUCUGAAUUUGUCAUAUGAUAAUAUUUCCUUCAUUAUUAGGUAUGGGCUCCACGCUGAACUGGCUCAAAUCCUUCACAUAUCUUUCACUUUCUUUGUCUGAACCAAAUAUAAACUUUUUCUUUCUUUACUUAAACCGAACUAAUCAUUAUUGAGUGUGGACUUCCCCAAACUGGUCAAGUCCUCCACACGUUAUUCUUUUUCUUUACUUUAACCAAAUCGGAUUUUUUUUUUGAAUCGAACCGAGUUACUCUUCUGUAUUGGGCCGAACUGUUCGCCUUCCACUUCCUUAGACUAUUACCUUCCUUCAGCGGCAAAAUGAAUCAUACCCUUAAUUUAUUGUCGCUUCUUUUAUCGCUAUUUUCUCUUCCUUUAUUGCUGUUUUUUAUUUUUCUCUAAUUAUUUACCCAUCGCAUCACAUGGUUUACUACACUAAUUAUUAAUUAAUAUAUAUAAAUCCUCAAUAUUUUUUACCAAGUGGCAAAUUCUCUUUCACCGUCACUAGCGUACGAUCCUUUCCCUUCCCUCCACCGAUCCGGCCUUCAAUUAAUGCAUCUAAGUGCCGCUACUAAAACUUUCAAGUAAUACAUCUAAAUUAUCCCACUAUCAUUUACAAUCCUAAUAUCUCUAUUUCUAAUUAAUUUAUCAUGAACCUUCCUCUCUUUCUCCACUAUACUUUCAAUUAAUGCAUCCAAACUGUUUGCUGCUAUCUACUAUCCUCAUCUCUUUAUCUCUAAUUAAUUCAUCAAUUUUCUCUCUCAUCUUUUUCUAUACAUCGUCACCUCCCUCCUAGCUUCCUCUUUCCCUUUCUCUCACUAAUGCGUGGCCCACCUCCACCCCUUCGGUCAUGGCCGAAGGGAUCAUCGUCAUCGUUACUAUCGCUGUUAUCGGAGAAGGUAUCAUCCAGCUCAUCCCUAACGUCAAUAGCGCCAAUAGUGAGGGACCAUUAGUACGUGUGGCAAGUACGAUAUAUUAAAAAAUAUUUAAUAUUCUCUAAUUAUUAAUUACUCCUACAAUUCUACGUACCCAGAAACGCAGGUUCUUUCACUGGUAUGUAUAAUAACUUAUAGUAAUUAUUAUCAUUUCUCCUGCACACUCCUUGGUCCGUCUAAUCCAAGGCCUCUCUAUAUAUAGAGAGUGAAAAGCAAUGGGAAGUGUCUCUGCAAAUAUAAAGAGAAGCAACUUUUUUUUUGUUUGAAAGCACAUAACUAUCCUUAAUAUGAAAGGAGGGUGUCCUUUUAGAUGCAGUGUUCCUAGGGAUUAACCGUCUAUGCAGAGAUUUCUGUGUAUAUGGUAGAUCUGUUAAUAAACUCGAAUAGAGGUGAAAUUCAAAGCGUGACACCUUAAAUAACUAUUNNNNNNNNNNNNNNNNNNNNNNNNAUAUAUUAAAUUAAUUAAUUAAAUAUUCCAAUAAGUCUUUACUCAAUUAAAUUACGCUGUGACACUUGAGAGCAAAAAAUAAAAAAAAUUCAAGCAAAAAAUUACAAUAAAUUAAAGUUUAAGAAUCAAAAUGUUAUAUACUAUAUAGUUUGAAAAUAAAAAGUUCAGUUUACCCUCUUUUCUUUUUUAUGAUUGCAAAAUAAAUACCAAUUUCAACUUCUUAGAUAAAGUACAAUUUUGCUUUUCAUCUUUAUUUUAUAUCUAAAAAUUUAUUUGAAAGCAUAUGUAACUGCUGCCUUGUUUAUAUUUUUCAAAUUACUCAAAAAAUUAAUAUUAUUUAACAGAUAGAAGUGCAAUCAUGCGUCUAAAAUGAAAUAUCAUUUGCUACCUACAAGUCAAUAUGAUAUCCAACUUAUUACCAACCCACACACACUCUUUUAUUCACAUACAAAGCAAACAGUCACACACAUACACACAAACUAAGACACUUAUUAAUUUAAAACAUGCAUCAUUAUGCAUCAUCUUAGUGGCCUCCUCCAGGCAGCUUCUCCUUGAUCUUCUCCAUCAUGCCCUUCCUCCCCUGGCCGCCUUCCGCCGCAGUCGGCGGUGCAGUCGCAGUCGUCAUCAGCGCAGUCGCAGUCGUCGCCGGUGCAGUCGCGGUUGUCCCCGGUGCAGUCUGGCUGACGUAGCGGUGCUCGUCGUCGGUCUUGCGGCCGCCGGGCAUCUUCUCCUUGAUCUUCUGCUUUAUGCCCUUCUUCCUCCGCCCUCCCAUACCGUCGUCCUCCGACUGCUCGCAAAUUACCAAAAAUAAAUAAAAAAAUUUAAAAAUAAUAAUCUAAUACAUUUUUUAAACAUUUUAAAAAUACGAAUAUAACAAAUCAAUACAAUAUAUAUAUAUAUAUAUUAUAUAUUAUAUAUAUAUAUAUAUAUAUAUAUAUAGUAUAUAUAAUAUAUAUUGUGUUCAUUUUUAUACAGUUUGUAAGUUUUCAUUACCCUCUAGUUCCAACAUUCUAAAUUGUUAAGUUAUUCCGGGAACUGAAUAAAGAUCACAUACCGAGCUCGAGCUCGAGCUGGAGCUGCUACCGGAGCGGCGGUGGCCGCGCUCCCUCUCCGGCAUCAGCUGCCCGUGGCCGCCGCCCGCGGCAGGCACUCCCCCUUGCGGGUGCGCCGUUCCAUAAGGUCCGACGCCGGUCUUCCCGUGAGCACCAGUGGCGGUGCCGGUUGCAUUAUACGACUCCCGAAUCGGAUUGCCGUAGGCAUCGACCGGAGGACAGGGCUUCGGCCACGGGGCAGGCACUCCCCCCUGCUGGUGCGCCGUCCGGUAAGGUCCGACGCCGGUCGUCCCGUGGGCACCGGUGGCGGCGCCGGUCGCGUUAUACGACUCCGGAGUCGGAUUGCCGUAGGCAUCAGCCGGAGGAGAGGGCUUCAGCUGCCCAUGGCCACCGCCCGCAGCCGCCGCUCCCCCCUGCGGGUGCGCCGUCCCGUAAGGUCCGACGCCGGUCGUCCCAUAAGCACCGGUGCCGGGGCCGGUCGCAUUAUACGACUCCGGAAUCGGAUUUCCGUAGGCGUCGACCGGAGGAGAGGGGUUCAGCUGCCCGUGGCCGCCACCGCCUGUGGCCGCUACUCCCCCCUGCGGGUGCAACGUCCCAUAAGGUCCAGCGCCGGUCGUCCCGUGGGCACCGGUGCCGGCACCGGUCGCGUUAUACACGUCCGGAAUCAGAUUGCCGUACGCGUCGACGCGGCGUCCUCCCUGGUGACCGUACUCCGCCAUUUUUAUUCAAAUAUAUUUUCGCACAAGCGCAACACUUAACAAGAGAUCAGCAGUAGUAGUAGCAGCUCACUACACUGCAACUCACACAAGCUGUGUAUACAAAUGCUGAACACUUUGAUGGAUAGAUAUGACGCUUUAUGGUGCGUGUUCAUGUGCGUAUUUAUAGAGUUCGUAAAAUUGCAUUAGAGUCCCUGAACUUUCACAUUAUUUCAUUUAAGUUCCCAAGGUAGCAAGUUCACCAGAGAAUUAUGCCGUAUAUUUUUUAAAUAUUUUUAUUAUAUAUUAUUCCAAUUUUAUAGUUUUAUGAGCGAAAUUUUGUUUUUCUUGUGUAAAUAUUAGAACAUUGGAUUGAAAUGUGAGAUGAAUGAAUUAACUAGGAUGAAAAUUUAAAUGACAUAAUAUUUGAAAGUUUUGAAACUAAAUUGUUGCUUGAUUCAAAACAGGUUGACGUACACAAAAGUUCAGGGACUUUUCUGCAAAUUACCUUUAUUUAAAAAAAAAAAUUUUACUGGGGUCGGUGCGGAUGGGGGAAAGGGUGAUGGGCACGUGUGAGCCUAAUGCGUUGGUGCACGUACGAGGGGGUGACACGUGCGGGACUGAGUCACCUACGUAAGGGUAAUAUUUUUUUAUUUUUCUUUUUUUGGUAUUAAUUAGUUGUAGUAUUGUAUGUGUCAGCGAUUUGGAUAAGGCAUCGGACACUCUAGUUGCCGCGUAGUACUCAAAGGUACCGUUUAGUUCGGGUAUAAACAAGAACUAGCUAUUACAGGGAUAAGUACAAGUAUGAGGAUAAGAAAAAAAGUGUUUGGAUGAAAAUUGGGUUGUUCUCGGGGAUAAGAAUAAUUUUAAAUAGUUUUGUAUAGAAAAUGAAGGUGUUGGUGGGGAUAAUCGAAAAUUACUAUUCUCGGAUAAAAAAUUAACGUUUUGGUAUAAAAGGGGGGAUAAGGGCCUAUUUCUAUCCCUCCCUAUUCCCUAACCAAACGGUGCCAAAAAGAGGCAAAAAAAAGUAAAAUAAAAUAAAAUAAAAUAUUAAUUAACUUUUUUGGGAAGCGUAUAAGCCAAAAUUGCAUAGAAUCGAGCCAUGUGUAAUCUUCAAGGCGUUAAAUUAAGAUGGAUAAUAAUAUGAUAAUUUCUAUGUAAAGAAUAUGUUUCCACAUCUCAAUAAAUUAUUUUAUAUAUAUAUAUAUAUAUAUAUAUAUAUAUAUAUAUAUAUAUAUAUAUAUAUUAGUACUUAGNAAAAGCAGUGUUGUGAUAGAGGAUUAAUUUUAAGUAACAAUUAAUAGAACAGGUGGUUUGGAGGGAAAAGGUGAGGAGAGAAUCUGAUGUUUUGUUUGCAUGUGAAAGGUGGUGGAUUUGAUACAGAGUUGUGAGUACAUAUCCCACUACCAAAGCCAUAUUAUAAUAAGGAGAAUAUAUAUAUAUAUAUAUAUAUAUAUAUAUAUAUAUAUAUAUAUAUAUAUAUAUAUAUAUAUAUAUAUAUAGUAGAGCUAUUAUAUUUUCAGAAGCAAAAGGGACUUCGUGCGUUCAAAUUUUUGCAUCCCUUUAAUCAUUACCAACUCUUAGGGCUUGUUUGGUUAAAGGGUGGAAUUGGAAUGGAUAAUGGAAUGGAAACGAAUUGGAAUGAUAAUUAGAAUGAUCCACUCUCUUAAGACGUUUGGUUUAUUUGUGGAUUGGGAAUUGGAAUGAGUUAUUCACAUUUUAUUGUUUGGUUCGUAUAAACUAAAAAAAUUAUAGGAUACUAUAAUACUAAUUUUACUCUCAAAUAUAAAUUUAUAUUAUUUAAAAUUUAUGAAAAAUAUAAUACUAUUAAUAAGUUUUCCAAAAAAAAUAUCAAAUUUAUUUUUAAAAAUUUUUAUUGAUGUGGGUUAGGGAUAGGGUUUUAAGAGAGAAUAGAUUUUUUUUUUUUUUUGAUGGGAAAGAGGUGAAGAGAAGGAGGGUGAGACAGUCAAAUGGGCUUCGAAAAUUUAGUGAGCUUCCGGAAUAAAAUCUCAAUUCAGGCAAGAAGACCGGAAUCAAGUUGAAGGCUAAUGGGCUAUUCCCAUUCCAGUCCGAAAUAGGAAUCCCAAACCGAUUCAUGCGAACCAAACAAAAUUAAUCGGAUUUGAUCAAACCGAUUUUCCAUUCCAUAUCCAAAAUGGAUGAACCAAACAAGCCCUUAGAUUAAUACUAUUACACUGGGGGACAACUCAAUGUUAAGGGGCCACUAUCAUCUCGACCACACAACCCUUGAUCCAAUAGCUAAAAAGUCGGAAGUAUUAACUCCCUUAGACUUUUGAUAGAACAGUAUCUCUACAAUAUAGGCCGCUGUAAAUAUAGUAAAUUACAAAUAUAUCCCUAUAAAAUUCAACUUUUAUAUAUUGUUCGUGUAAAAGUUUCAAUAUUUUUAAGUAUGUCUCUCUAGUUUGUUACUGUUAGAUAACUGUUUAUAUUUUAAUAGCAGAUAAGUGAAAUGUCAAUUUUGCCAUCACAAAUAAAAUUCAAUUUUGCCAUGUGGUUUUAAUUUUGUAUCAAGUUAGGUUUUUAAACCACAGGGUACUAAAGUGAUAAAAUGCAAAACUAUAGGGUACUAACUUGAUACACUUUAAACCACAAGGUACUAAAGUGAUAAACCACAGGGUACUAAUUAACUUGAUAUAUUUUAAACCACAGAGUACUAAAAUGAAAAAAAAUAAAACCACAAGGGGGGUGUUUGAAGUUUUCUCAUAUAUUUUAUGAACUGUAUAUUUAUUAACUAUAUUUUAUUAUAUUUGUAUUUCAAUUUUGCUGACCAUUGAGUGAAAUUUUGUUUCUCUUGAGUAAAUAUUAGAACUUUGGAUUGAAAUGCGAGAUGAAUGAAUUAAGUAGGAUGAAAAUUUAAAUAAAUUAAUUCUUGAAAGUUUUGAAACUAAAUUAUUGCUUGAUUCAAGCAGGUUGACAAACAAAAAAAUUCAGGGACUUUUCUGCAAAUUACCAUUAUUUUAAUAAAAGUCUUUUUUAAUGGGGGGCGGUGAGGGAGGGGGGAAAGAGAGAUGGGCACGUGUGAGCCUAUGCGUCGGUGCACGUACGAGGUGGUGACACGUGUGGGAAUGAGUCACCAAUGUUAGGGUAAUAUUUUUUUUUUUUUUAUUUUUCUUGUUUUGGUAUUAAUAAUUAGUUGGAGAAUUGCAUGUGUCAGCGUUUUGGAUAAGGCAUAGGACACUCUAGUUGCCAUGUAGUAGUCAAAAGUAAAAAAAAAAAAAAAAAAAAAAGAGGGGGAAAAAGAAAAUUUCCCAAAAUUGCCAUAAAAUCGAGCCAUGUGUAAUAUUCAAGGCAUUAAAUUAAAGAUGGAUGCUAUAAUUUCUAUGUAAAUUAUAUUUGAAUGCCUGAAUAAAUUAUUUAAUAAUAAUUAAUUUAUAUAUUUUAAAAUUUUGUAUUUCAGAUCUAAAUUAUAAGAAGUAUGAUAUUAUAGGUCUUAAAUUUUAGUUUAUAGUAAUUUCUCGCUAGAACUUUUUAGAUUAUUGCAAUCAAAAUUCAUAUUGAAUCGUUAGAAUUAACUAUUAAUUUCAAAAAUUCGAAGUAUGAAAAAGAUGCCAUCUUGAUCUUAAAUUCAAAAAUGCUAUCAUCAAAUUCUAAACAUUGUUAAAUUUUUAUUGUUUAUUUUGAUAUGAUGUACUAAAUAAACGAUAUCGAAAAAAUUAAAUUUUAUUCUUAAGAACUUCAUAUACUCUAAAUCAUAUUUAACGGUAUAAACCAUUAAUUUGAACAUCCUAAAACUGAAAAAACGACUAUAGUAUCAAGGCUUCGGUAUUAUAGAUAGUAUAAUACAAGAAUUGAAGUACUGUGGAAUGGAGUCAUGUCGGAAACUUGCUGGCACGGUACGACAUGAUGCGCGCCAGAUUAUGCCGAUGUGUGCCAAUCACAAAUAAUAUAAAUAUGCCGACAUAUAAUGGCAUGAACUAUUUUUUUUUUUUAGUAACAAAAUAUUCCAACCUUUUAUUAUAUAUUUUUAUCAAAUAUUUUAAAUCUUAUUGAGAAAAUUAUUUAUUAGUUUAAAAAGUAGAGGGUUUUGAGUUAUACUAUCAGUUUAAGACUGUAUCGUGUCAAUAUUUUAUUGACACGAUACGGUACGGUGGACACAGCCCAUGCCGAUGGGUACUUAAAUACUUGGUGUAUAUAUAUAUACUAUAUACACUAUCGAUAGUACUAAGCGCAUGGUGUUAUUGAAUUUUUCGCUGUUAGAUCAAUCCCUUUGAUCAUUUUCACCCGUUAAAUCAUUCUAUUCAACUAACCUUCCAUUCAACCCCGGGGACCAUUAUUAUCCUGAUCGGGGAUCACUAUCAUCCUAACCGCACAUCCUUAAUUUCAUCCAAGAGGAAAACCUAAAAGCGCACCAAUGACAUGGUACUAUUAAUAGUACAGAAGCCUAACUCUAUAUAUAUAUAUAUGUGUUCCUCUAGGGUUGAGAGGAUAGUUGGCUAAAUAAUAUAAUCCAACAAGUGGAAUUGGUCAAAGGGGUUGAUCUAAUAGUUGAAAAUUCGAUAAAACAAAGUAUUUAGUACUAUCGAUAGUAUAGUAACUGUCUCCCCCCCUUCUCCAUAUAUAUAUGUUGCUUUUAAAAGCACGAUGUCCUCCGUUUUAUCAAGUCAUUUUCACUAUUAGGAUUUUCGAAUUAACGAUCGGCACUAUUAGACUUGAUCUAAAGUAUUUGAACUACUUAAAAAAUUAAUUUUACGAUUUUUUUAUAUCAUUGAUCUAGUGAUCGGAAAUACACAAAAUCAAUAAUUUUGAUGAUUAUAAUAAGCCGUUUGUAAGUUUAAAGGUAUAAAAAUAUUUAAAUUACGUGAAAUUUUGAUAGAAACUUUCUUAUCUAUAUAAAACAAAGUGAGUAGUUUGAUCUAAAAUUUUAAUAUAAUAUCAUCACUUUUUGUGAGAUUUUUAUUUUCGGCCGUUGAUUUUGAGGCUUUUCGAUCAAUAAAUAAAUAAUAUCGAAAAAUUACGAAAUUUAUUUAUAGAUAUUUUAAAUAAUCUAAAUCAAGUCUAACGAAGUCAAUCGUAAAUUCGAAAUUCCUGGCAUCAAAAACAACUUAAUAACAUAAAAUUUAACCAUACUUUUAAAAACACACAAGCCCAACCCUCUCUCUCUCUCUCUCUCUCUCUCUUUAUAUAUAUAUAUAUAGAGAGAGAGAGAGAGAGUUGAACUGGGCUAUUAUUAGUAGCAAAAUCUCAUUGUUGCUACCAGUUUUUUAGCUUUUGGAUCAACUCUUUUCAUUAUUUCUAACCCUUGGAUUAAAUACUAUAACCCAGUGGAAACCACUCAACCCUAGGGGGACCACUCAACUCUAAUCGACUAAUAUCAUACUGACCCUACAAUUUUUCAUCCAAGGGUUAAAAACUUGAUAGCAAAAAAAGCGUUUUACUAUUAAUAGUAUUCCAGCCUAAUUCUAUAUAUAUAUAUAUAUAUAUAUAUAUAUAAUUAGGCUACUAUACUAUCUAUAGUACGGGAGCUCCCGUACUAUAGUGUUGUUUUCGAUCUUAGAGCGUUCAAAUCAAUGAUCCACACCGUUAAAUAUAAUUUAGGGUAUAUGAAGUUCUUAGGAAUAAAAUUUUAGUUCUUUUCGAUAUCGUUUACUUAGUAAAUAAAUUAUGUCAAAAUAGAUGGUGGGAAUUGAAUAUUCUUUAAAAUUUGAGCAUAGGACUUUUAAAUUCAAGAUCAAGAAUGUUAACCUUAAUCUAUAUAGUUUAAAGUAUUUUCUAUCAAAAUUUAAAAAAAUUUAGAUUCUUCUACACUGUUAAACUCCAAACUCGUCAUAAUAGCCAUUGAAAAUUGACAAUUUUGAAAUGUUUUAAUCAUAAAGUAAACUAUGUUCGAAACAAAUUAUAAAAUUUUAUUUUUAAAAAAUUAAAUAUCUAGAUCAGUUUUAACGGGUGUGAUCAUUGAUUUGAACGCCCGAAGAUCGAAACAACACUAUAGUACGGAAGCUCCAUACUUAAGAUAUAUAUAUAAUAUUAUAUAAUAUAAUUAUAUAUAUAUAUAUAUAUAUAUUAUAUAUAUUAUAUAUAAUAUAGAGUGAGGCUACUAUGCUAUCGGAAGCACGGUGCUUCCGUGCUUCCAGCUCGUUUUCGAUGUUGCGACUUUCGAAUCGUCGAUCGGCUCCGUUAACUGAUUAGAGUUUUUAAGUAUCUGAAAAAUAAAUUUAUGAUUUUACGAUAUCAUUUGCCUAGUGAACGAAGGGGCUCAAAACUCAACGGCCUGAAAAUAAAAAUCUUACAAAAUGUAAUAUUACGACAUUAAAAUUUUAAAUCAAAGAUAUUGAUCUUGUUUUAUAUAGUAUAAAGAAUUUUCUAUCAAAAUUUAACGUAAUUUGGAUAUUUCUACACCGUUAAACUUGCAAACGAUCAUACGGCCAUUGAAAUUUGUUAAUUUGAGCCUUUGUUCACUAGGCAAAUGAUAUGUAAAAUCAUAAAUUUUAUUUUCUAGUGACUUCAAAUACUCUAGAUCAAGUUUAAUGGAGACGAUCGCCGAUUCGAAAGUCGCAAACAUCGAAAUGAGCUGGAAGACGGAAAGGCUCCGUGCUUCCGAUAGCCCAUAGUAGCCUACUCUUUCUCUCUCUCUCUCUCUCUCUCUAUAUAUAUAUAUUAUUAUAUAUAAUAUAUAUAUUGAUAUAUAUUCAUAAGUAAUUAUCAUCAUUUGCCUAAUCCAAGGCCUACAUAUAAAGAGUCAAAACCAACGAGAAGUGUCUCUUCAAAUAUGAAGUGAUCGAAGCACCUUUUUCAUUUAAAAUUACAUAACUACCUUUAAUAUGAUAUAAAAGGUGUCCUUUUAUAAAUAACUAAAAUUUUAAAUUAAUUAAUUAAAUAGUCCAACAAGUUAUUCGACUACAUCACUACAGCUUAAUUAGCAAUAGUGAUACAAUUUAGUCAAUUAAAUUUAAAACUAAAAUUUUAAAUUAAUUAAUUAAAUAGUCCAAUAAAUUAUUUCCGUAUUAUUAACCACAAUUCCACUACGUCACUACUGCUUAGCAAUAGUGAUACUAUUUAGCCAAAUAAAUUACGCUGUGAAACUUGAUAGCAAUAUUCAAAAAAAUUCAAGCCAAAAAUUAGAAAUUAAUAUUUCAGAAUCAAAGUAUCACACGUUAUAUAGUUUGAAAACGAAAAGUGCAAUUUAACCUUUUAUCUUUCAGGAGAUUCAUUUUAUAUUCAAAAAAUAAUUUGAAAGUCGAAAAUAGCAUGUCCUUUAAUAUAGACAUAUGAUCAUCCAUUUCAUCUAUUCACUAUUGCUUAUUUUUUAAAUAAAUAAAAAAUAUACUAAAUAAAAUAUUUAUGUAUCUAAAUAGCGCUUAUGAUUAAAAGUUAAAUAGGUUUUAGUUAAUUAUAAGCCUUGUUUGAAAGCAUAACUACGUUGUUUAGUAUAUUUUUUCAAACUACUCAAAAAAUGUAUAGCAUUUGAUAGAUAGAAGUGCGAUCACGCAUCUAAAAAAAAGAUAGAUUUAAUUUUGUACAGAUUUUUGUAAAUAUAAUGAGUUACAAAUAUAUCCUUACAAAAUUCCAACUUUCAUAUAUUGUUAUUGCAAAAGUUCAGAUAUUUUUAAAUAUGUCCAUACCCUUUAUAUCCAAUAAAAAAAAUUAAUUAAUUAUAAAUAAAAUACUUACUUCUAAUUAGUUAAUGAAAUAAAUUAACCUUUUUAUCUCUUUUUAAUUAAGAGUUGAAAUUUUUAAAAGAGCAUAUUUAUGAUAGCCAAAAAAUUAUUUAAUUAUAAAAUAAAUAAUAUUUUAACGUUAAUAAAUCAAGAGACAUAUUUAAAAACAUUACGACUUUUACAGAAAUAACAUAUAAAAAUUAAAUUUUAUAGAAAUAUAUAUUUAUAAUUCGCUAUAUUUAUAGGGAGACCUAUUAUGAAAUUAAUCAUAAAAUAAAAUAACAUGACUGCGACCUUCAAGUUAUUUCAUAAUAAUAAAAUAAAUUGUCUCCUAGAUGAAACAUGAGAUCCCAAAUUAAAGAAUUUGUAGAAGCUUCUUAGAAGCAACAUACAAGAGUACAUAGACCCUCCCACACACUCCUUUAUUCUCACAAACACAAAAAAAAAGCAAAUACUCUCACAAAUUAACACAAACUUAGACACUUCAAAACAUGCACUUCAAAACAUGCAUGCACCAUUAUUGAAACUUGGAUUUUUAUGCACAAAAACUUAACUAGUGGCCUCCUCCAGGCAGCUUUUCCUUGAUCUUGUCCAUCAAGCCCUUCUUCUCGUGCCCGCCUUCUGCCGCCGUCCCCGGCGUCGUCACCGGUGCAGUCUGGCCGGCGUAGCCGUGCUCGUCCUCGGUCUUGUGGCCGCCGGGCAUCUUCUCCUUGAUCUUCUCCCUUAUGCCCUUCUUUCUCCUCCCUCCCAUUCCGUCGUCCUCAGACUGCUCGCAAAUUACCGAAAAAAUUAAAAAAAAAAUUAAAAAAAUAAUUUAAUAUAUUUUUAAAAAAAUUUAAAAAAUGCCGAAUAUAACAAAUCAAAUACAAGUAUAUUUUGUUCAUUUUUAUUAUAUAAGGAAUUGGAUCUGAAUCGAUCUUUUCAAUCUGUUUCCGAUUUGAUUUAUGGAUACGUCAAAAUUAUAGAUACGUUGACUAUUCAGUUUGUAAAUUUUCGCUAUUCUAUAAUUCCAACAUCCUAAAAUAUUGAGUAAUUCUAAGAAUGAAAAUAAAAAUUACAUACCGAGCUCGAGCUGGAGCCGCUGCCGGAGCGGCGGUGGCCGCGCUCGGUCCCCGGCAUCAGCUGNUAACUAAAAUUUUAAAUUAAUGAAUUAAAUAGUCCAACAAGUUAUUCUCGUAUUAUAUUAUUAACCAUAAUUCCACUACAUCACUACUGCUUAAUUAGCAAUAGUGAUACAAUUUAGUCAAAUUAAUUAAAUAGUCCAACAAAUUAUUUCCGUAUUAUUAACCACAAUUCCACUACGUCACUACUGCUUAGCAAUAGUGAUACUAUUUAGCCCAAUUAAAUUACACUGUGAAACUUGAUAGCAAUAUUCAAAAAAAUUCAAGCCAAAAAUUAGAAAUUAAUAUUUGAGAAUCAAAGUAUCACACGUUAUAUAGUUUGAAAACGAAAAGUGCAAUUUAACCUUUUAUCUUUCAGGAGAUUCAUUUUAUAUUCAAAAAAUAAUUUGAAAGUCGAAAAUAGCAUGUCCUUUAAUAUAGACAUAUGAUCAUCCAUUUCAUCUAUUCACUAUUGCUUAUUUUUUAAAUAAAUAAAAAAUAUACUAAAUAAAAUAUUUAUGUUUCUAAAUAGCGCUUAUGAUUAAAAGUUAAAUGGGUUUUAGUUAAUUAUAAGCCUUGUUUGAAAGCAUAACUACGUUGUUUAGUAUAUUUUUUCAAACUACUCAAAAAAUGUAUAGCAUUUGAUAGAUAGAAGUGCGAUCACGCAUCUAAAAAAAAGAUAGAUUUAAUUUUGUACAGAUUUUUGUAAAUAUAAUGAGUUACAAAUAUAUCCUUACAAAAUUCCAAAAGUUCAGAUAUUUUUAAAUAUGUCCCUAUCCUUCGUAUCCGUUAAAAAAAAUUAGUUAAUCAUAAGUAAAAUACUUAUUUCUAAUUAGUUAAUGAGAUAAAUUAAUAUUUUUAUCUCUUUUUAAUUAAGAGUUGAAAUUUUUAAAAGAGCAUAUUUAUGAUAGCCAAAAAAUUAUUUAAUUAUAAAAUAAAUAAUAUUUUAACGUUAAUAAAUCAAGAGACAUAUUUAAAAACAUUACGACUUUUACAGAAAUAACAUAUAAAAAUUAAAUUUUAUAGAAAUAUAUAUUUAUAAUUCGCUAUAUUUAUAGGGAGACCUAUUAUGAAAUUAAUCCUAAAAUAAAAUAACAUCUGCGACCUUCAAGUUAUUUCAUAAUAAUAAAAUAAAUUGUCUCCUAGAUGAAUCACGAAACAUGAGAUCCCAAAUUAAAGAAUUUGUAGAAGCUUCUUAGAAGCAACAUACAAGAGUACAUAGACCCACCCACACACUCCUUUAUUCUCACAAACACAAAAAAAAAAGCAAAUACUCUCACAAAUUAACACAAACUUAGACAAUUCAAAACAUGCACUUCAAAACAUGCAUGCACCAUUAUUGAAACUUGGAUUUUUAUGCACAAAAACUUAACUAGUGGCCUCCUCCAGGCAGCUUUUCCUUGAUCUUGUCCAUCAAGCCCUUCUUCUCGUGCCCGCCUUCUGCCGCCGUCCCCGGCGUCGUCACCGGUGCAGUCUGGCCGGCGUAGCCGUGCUCGUCCUCGGUCUUGUGGCCGCCGGGCAUCUUCUCCUUGAUCUUCUCCCUUAUGCCCUUCUUUCUCCUCCCUCCCAUUCCGUCGUCCUCAGACUGCUCGCAAAUUACCGAAAAAAUUAAAAAAAAAAUUAAAAAAAAUAAUUUAAUAUAUUUUUAAAAAAAUUUAAAAAAUGCCGAAUAUAACAAAUCAAAUACAAGUAUAUUUUGUUCAUUUUUAUUAUAUAAGGAAUUGGAUCUGAAUCUUUUCAAUCUGUUUCCGAUUUGAUUUAUGGAUACGUCAAAAUUAUAGAUACGUUGACUAUUCAGUUUGUAAAUUUUCGGUAUUCUAUAAUUCCAACAUCCUAAAAUAUUGAGUAAUUCUAAGAAUGAAAAUAAAAAUUACAUACCGAGCUCGAGCUGGAGCCGCUGCCGGAGCGGCGGUGGCCGCGCUCGGUCCCCGGCAUCAGCUGCCCAUGGCCGCCGCCGCCCGCGGCCGCCACUCCCCCCUGUGGGUGCGCCGUCCCGUAAGGUCCGAUGCCGGUCGUCCCGUGGGCACCGGUGCCGGCGCCGGUCGCGUAAGGUCCGACGCCGGUCGUCCCGUGGGCACCGGGGCCGGCGCCGGUCGCAUUAUACACCCCCGGAAUUGGAUUGCCGUACUCAUCGACGCGGCGUCCUCCAUGUUGACCGUACUCCGACGACAUAUUUUUUUUUAAAAUAUAUUUCCGUACAAGUAAGCGCAACGAUUAACAAGAAAUGUGUAACCUCACUGGAUCCACUGAUGAAUAGAUGAUGGGUGUGUUGCUUGUUCAUGUGCAUAUUUAUAAAGUUCGUAAAAUUGCACCAAAGACCCUGAUGUCUCGCUCAUAUUUCAACUUGCUCCCUGAGGUGUGUUUAUUAAAUAUUUUUAAUUAUAUAUUAUUCUCAUCCUAGUAAUAUCCUUCGGUCCAUUGGGUGAAAGUUUUGCUUUUUUGAGUAAAAAAAUUAGAGCUUUGGAUUGAAAUGUGAGAUGAAUGAAUUAAACUACGAACGAUUAUUUUUAAUCUAGGACAAAAAUUUUAAAUGAAAUAAUGUUUGAGAUUUUGAGGACUAAAUUGUUGGUUUAUUUAAAACAAAUUGAGGACUAACAUGAAAGAUGACUCAAAGUUUAGGGACUGUCCUGCUAAUUACCUUUAUUUUAAAAGAAAAUAUUAAUGGGGAUGGGGUCCGUGAUGGGAGAAGGGCACGUGUGAGCUCAUGCGUGGUUGCACGUGCGAGCUGGUGACACGUGUUUGACAGAGUCACCUACGAAGGGGUAAUAUUUUUUUUUCUUUUUUCUAUUUUUGGUAUUAAUUAGUUGUAGUAUUGAAUGCGUCAGCGUUUCGCAUUGGGCAUAAAACACUCUUGUGUUAAAAAAAUAAAAAUAAAAAUAAAAAAUAGAAGAAGCCAAAAUUGCAUGGAAUCGAGCCACGUGUAAUCUUCAAAGCAUUAAAUUACGGUGGAUGCGAAUAAUUCUGAGACAAAUAUCUUAUUCAGUAAUAAUUUAUAUAUUUUAAAUAUUUUUAUUUAUUUAUUUUUUUUAGAGAGAUAGAUAACACGCUACCCAUUUUAUUUAUUUCAUUUAGAAAUAAAUUUAGUCGGACUAGGAUUCGAACUUGGGUCUCGAAUAUCAACCACCAAGUCCUUUGCCACUUGCUCUAGGGACAGCUGAUAAAUAUUUUUAUUUAUUAAAAUGUACUUUCGAUUUUAAAAUUAUUAGGGGUGUGACGCUGCAGCUUUUGGACUUUUAUUUGUAGAAAUCAAAUUCAUAUUACAUCGUUGGCGAUUAAGAUUAUAGCAGUUCUUGUAUUUUUAAAUUUCUAAUUGUUUAUCAAAUUUUAUAGAUGAUUUUGAUUAAUCUCUCAUUUCUCAUCUUUCUUUCCAAUUUUUUUUUUUCUUUUCGAAUUUCUUCUCAAUUUCACUUCUCCCUCUUACCUUUCCCACCACCAUCACCUCCACCCCAACCAUCUGCUCGCCCAACCCCGCAGCCAGUGUCAUCCGAGAUGGCUGCUGUCAUCGCUAUAUAUAUAUAUAUAGAGAGAGAGAGAGAGAGAGUAAGGCUAGUUACUGUAUUAUUAGGAGCAUAGUAGUCUUUAUACUACUAAGUUUUUAAUUUUUCAUCAAUUUCGAUAGGUGAUUAGGAUGAGAGUGAGAAGAAAAAUUCACAAAAAAAUCAAAGAGAAGAGAAAUUGAGACAUUCAAUUUCUUUCUAAUUUCUUUUCUCUUUUUAACCCCAACCACUCAUCAAAAUUGAUGAAGAAUUAGAAACUUAGGAUCACACGGGCUGCUAUGCUUCUAGUAAUAUAAUAGCCCUUCUCUAUAUAGUAGCCAAUGCGCUGCCAAGUUCUUAACCAUCCUAAUAAGACAAUAGCUCUACUCUAUAUAGCAGCACGUGUGCUUCUAACUUUCUAACCAUCCAAGUACAGUAGUUCGUAUGCUCCUAAAUUACUAACCAUCCAUCAAUUUUGAUGGGCAGUUAGGUUGGGAGAGAGAAGAAAAUUUGGAAAAAAAAAAAAAUUGAAUAUCUCAAUUUCUUUUCUUUUUGAAUUUCUUAUUCAUUUUUUUUUCUCUCUCACUCCUUAACCGCCCAUCAAAACUGAUGAACAGUUAGGAACUUAGAGCACACGGACUGCUAUAUAGAGUAGGGCUAUACACAGUAGCCCGUGUGCUCCUAAGUUCCUAACUCUCCAUCAAUUUUGAUGGAUACAUCAAUUUUGAUGGAUGCUUAGGGUGAGAGAAAGAAGAGAAAUUAUGAAGAAAUUGGAUGACUCAAUUUCUCUUUUUUUAAUUUUUUUUUUUUUUUUUUCGCUCUCUCAGCCUAAUCACCUAUCAAAAUUGAUAGAUAGUUAAAAAAUUUAGAAGCAUAAAGGACGUUGUGUUCCUAAUAUUACGGACUAUAUAUAUAUAUAUAUAUAUAUAUAUAUAUAUAUAUAUAUAUAUAUAUAUAUAUAUAUAUAUAUAUAAAUAUAUAGUAGUCUUCAGUGGUCUCCUAGGGCUGAGUGGGUGGUUCGUUGAAUAGUAUGAUUUAGCAAGUAAAAAGGGUCAAAGGGGACAGAUCUAACAGAGAAAAACUUGAUAGCUCCAAGCAUUUAGUAUUAUCGAUAGUAUAGUAGUUAGAUUAUAUAACUAGUAGGUCUAGUGUGCUAUUAGGAGCACAAAACCCUCCGUUCUUCUAAACCGUUUUCGAUAAUAUAACUUUCAAAUCGACAAUUGAUAUAAUUAGACUUUAAAAUAUUUGAAGUAUCUGAAAAAUAAAUUUUGUGAUUUUUUUAUAUAAUUUACAUAAUGAGUGAAGAGGUCCAAAAUCAUUAAAUUUAAUAAUGAUCGUGAUGAGUCUGUUUAACAGUGUAGAAAUAUUCAAAUCAUGUAAAAUUUUGAAAGUAAAUUCUUUAUACUAUAUUAAACAAGAUCAAUAUAUUUGAUCUAAUAUUUUAGUGUCAUAACAUUACUUUUUGUGAGAUUUUUAUUUUCGAUCGUUGAUUUUAAUUGAAUUCUUUCAAUCACUAGAUAAAUAUUAUCGAAAAACUCAAAAUUUAUUUUUAAAUAUUUCAAAUUCUCUAAAUUAAGUGUAACGGAGCUGAUCGUCGAUUCGAAAGCCCAACAUUAAAAAUAAUUUGAUAGCAUGAAAGUUACCGCACAUCUAACUCAUACAUAUUGAGAUAGUAAUUACUAUCAAUUCUCUUUUAGACACUCUCAUUUGCCUAAUCCAAGGUGUUUAUAUUGAGAGUGAAAAGCAAUGUGAAGUAUCUCUUCAAAUAUAAAAAGAAGCAAUUUUUCAUUUGAAAUCUGUUAUAUAUAAAAAUAUUUAAAUACCGUUGACGACGGUUGUUUCACAUGGUAUCAGAGCAGGAGGUCCUAAAUUCGAGUCACGCCGGGUUUCUAACAUAUUAAUUUUCUCCCAUUUAAUUCAAGCCCACGUUAUGGGCCGAUUAAAAAGUCUCGAGCCUAGACGUGAGGGGGAGUGUUAAAUAUAAAAAUAUUUAAACAUCGUUCUCUAAUAGCUUAAGCUUUUAGAGUACAACGGUUGUUUUAUAAAAUCACAUAACUAUUUUUAAUAUAAAAGGAAGUGCACUUUUAUAAGUAAUUAAAAUUUUGAAUUACUUAAUUAAAUGUUUUAAUAAAUCAUUCUCGUAUUUUUAACCAUAAUUCUACUCCAUCACUGCUGCUUAACAAAAAUGUUAUUUUCUAGUCAAUUAAAUUACGCUCUAAAACUUAAUGGCGAGAUCAUGAGUUCAAAUUUUCACCAAGCAAUUCAAUGAAAUUAAUAAAUCUCAUAUUAAAAUUCAAUAAGUAAAAUUUUUAUCACUUACCACAUCUCUUCAUUCCAUAUAACUUUCAUAUCCAUCCACGUUCAAAAAAAUAAAAAAUUAAAAAUUAAAAAAAAAUUAAAAAAAUAAAAAAAAUAAAAACCACUUAGAUAAUUCCCAAAGGCCUAUCUAAUAGAUGUCACACAAUUAUUUUCAUCAUAAUAUCAGGGUGAGAUAAAUACAUUAUACACCAUUCCUAGUAGACACGUACAAGCACUUGGUGCACGAGUUCUUGCAUUAGUGUAACACACACAAUUAUUUUCCUCAAAGCAUAUAUNUGGCCUCCUCCAGGCAGCUUCUCCUUGAUCUUCUCCAUCAUGCCCUUCCUCCCCUGGCAGCCUUCUGCAGCAGUCGGCGGCGCAGUCGCCGUCGUCAUCGGUGCAGUCUGGCCGGCGUAGCGGUGCUCGUCGUCAGCUGUCUUGUGGCCGCCGGGCAUCUUCUCCUUGAUCUUCUCCUUCAUGCCCUUCUUCCUCCUCCCUUCCAUCCCGUCGUCCUCCGACUGCUCGCAAAUUACACAAAAAAAGAAUAUAAAAAAAAAAAAAAUCUAAUACAUUUUUAAAAAAUUUAAAAAUACCGAAUAUAACAAAUCAAAUACAAAAUUUUUUUGGUUCAUUUUUAUUCUAUAUAAGAAAUUAUAUCUGAAUCUUUUCGGCCUGUGUGUCCGAUUUUGAUUUAUAGAUACAUUGGUUAUUCAGUUUGUAAGUUUCCACUAUUCUAUAAUUCCAAAAUUCUAAAAUAUUGAGCUAUUCUAAGAACAGAAAUAAAUUUCAAUAUUUCAAUUACAUACCGAGCUCGAGCUCGAGCUGCUGCCGGAGCGGCGGUGGCCGCGCUCUCUUCCCGGCAUCAGCUGCCCGUGGCCGCCGCCGCCCGCAGCCCCUGCCACUCCCCCCUGCGGGUGCGCCGUCCCGUAAGGUCCGACGCCGGUCGUCCCGUGGGCACCGGUGGCGGUGCCGGUCGUGUUAUACGACUCCGGAAUCGGAUUGCCGUAGGCGUCGACGCGGCGUCCUCCGUGGUGACCGUACUCCGCCAUUUUUCUUAAAUAUAUUUCCGUCCAAGCGCAACACUUAAUAAGAAAUCAGUAGCAGUAGCUCACUACACUGCAACUCACACAAAGCUGUGUAUACAAAUGCUGAACACUUAUACGGUUAGAAGAUGCUUAUGGUGCUCGUUCAUGCGCAUAUUUAUAGAGUUCGUAAAAUUGCACUAGACUCCCUGAAGGUUCACUCAAUUUCAUUUUGCUUCCUCAUGUGUGUUUAUUAAAUAUUUUUAUUUUAUAUAUAUAUAUAUAUAUAGAGUAGGACUUCCGUACUUUCAAAAGUACGGAAGUUUCCGUGUUUAUAAGUUGUUUUCAAUGAUAGGACAUCCGAUUCGACGAUCGGCUCUGUUAGGCAUAAUCUACGGUAUUAGAACUAUCCAGAAACCAAAUUUCAUAAUUUUUCGACAUCAUUUACCAAGCGAUCAAAGGGUCUUAAAAAUGACUAUUUUAACGGCCGAUGUGGCACGUUUUUAAGUUCAACGGUGUAGAAGUAUCCAAAUUAUAUGAAACUUUAAUAGAAAAUUCUACUUAACAUUAAGAGCAAGAAUAAUACUUCCGAUUUAAAAUUUGAGUCUUUUAUCACUGUUUUUUAUAAGAUUUUUAUUUUCAGCCGUUCAUUUUGAGACUACUCAUUCACUAGACAAACGAAAUCAAAAAAUUAUGAAAUUUGGUUUCUAAAUAGUUUCAAUAGUAUAGAUCAUGUCUAACGGAACCGAUCGCCGAAUUGGAUAUCCCAUCAUCGAAAACAACUUACAAGUACGAAGACCUCCGUACUUUCGAAAGCAUAGAAGCCUAGCUAUAUAUAUAUAUAUAUAUAUAUNAUAUAUAUGUAUUAUUCAAAAUCUACGGUCCAUUGAGUGAAAAUUUUUUUUUUUUCUGAGUAAAAAUUAGACCUCUGGAUUGAAAUAUGAGAUGAAUGAUUAGCUGGGAUGAAAAUUUAAAUGAAAAAAUAAUAUUUGAACGAUUUGGAACUAAAUUGAUGAUUCAUUUAAAAAAGUUUGAGGACUAAAAUGAAUGACGGCUCAAAGUUCAGGGACUUUAAAGCAAUUUACCUUCAUUUUAAAAGUUUUUUUUUUUAUGGGGUCGGUGAGCGAGGGGGUGGGGGAGGGAGAUGGGCACGUGUGAGCUCAUGCGUGGGUGCACGUGCGAGGGGGUGACACGUCUUGGACUGAGUCACCUAUGCAGGGGUAAUUUUUUUUUAUUUUUUAUUAUUCUUUCGGAAAAGGAUUGAAGCCAAAAUUGCAUAGAAUCGAGCCACGUGUAAUCUUCUGAAGGCAUUAAAUUACGGUGGAUACGACAAUUUUUAUGUAAAUGAUAAAUUAUUCUGUAAUAGUUAUUUACUUUAAAUUUUUUAGGCUUUUUUCAUAAAAAAUCCACUUAUUUUGGAUUUUUGUAAAACCGGGCCACCUUUUUCAUUUUUGCAGAUUCGGUCCAUUUUUUUAGCAAACUGACCAAAAUACCCUUAUAUAUUUUUCUCUCUCCUCUUUUUUUUCUCUCUCCUUUCUUCGAUCCCGUCAUCGCAGACCCCCAGCCCUAGACCGACUCCCCCUUUCCUCCUCGCCUCCUCGUCCUCGGCCCCACCCCUACCGCCUCCGCCGCGGCCGCCGCCAACGUAGGAGGAGCGACGGCGUUGGUGGAGGAGAAUGAGCGACUGCGGCGGAGCAACGCGGCGGUGGUGGCGGAGCUGGCCCCGAGCUUCGCGGCUUUUCCGCUCGUCGCAGCCCGCGGCUUGCGCGGCCUCGUCGACCAGCGCAGGUCGGUGGCCGCCAAGCCCGAGCUCAACAGCGCGAGCACCACCUCGAGCAGCUCCCUCACCAUCGCCGACGAGCUUUCGACACCACCGCCGCGAGAUGGGGCUGCUGGGGCUGUCCCUGUACGCCGACUCCGCCGAGCACUGCGGCGGUUGUAAAACGUCUCCUCGUCCGACGACCGCCAUCGGAGCCGCCGCGCGCCGCCGAGGCGGCGGCGAAGGGCGCCCCCGUCAACGGAGAUUAAGGGAGUCGAGGUCCUCCGCAGGAGAAGAAGAAAAAAUGAAAAAGAAGAAGAAAAUGAAAAGACCCACGCGUGUUCUUCUCGUCGGCAAAUGGUGUAAUAGUGUAAUGGUGUAAUGGCGUAAAUGGUGUAAUGGUGUAAUGGUAAUGAUGUAAUGGUGUAAUAGUAAUAGUGUAAUAGUGAAUGGUAAUGGUGUAAUGGUGUAGUGUAAUUGGUGUAAUGUGAUUCUAUCGCUUUUUUUUUUUUUCUCGCCGCGCUCGCCGUUCUCCUUCGAAUCCUCCUGCGCCGUCCCCUCACCGUCGCGUUCCUGAACCGCACCUCCUCGCUCCCCCGGCGACCCGCACCCCUCGACGGCCCCCCACGGCCGCUCCACGCCGGCCGGCGGGGGUCGCUCGCGGCAGCAGAGGAGCGCCGUGGGGGCCGUCGAGGGGUGCGGGUCGCGGGGCAGCGAGGAGGGUGCGGUUCGGGAACGCGACGUGAUGGGGACGGCAGGAGGAUUCGAGGGAGAACGGCGGGCGCGGCGAGAAAAAAAAAAAGAUCGCGCCGGCCGGCGCGCGAGGAGCGUCGUGGGGGCCGUCGAGGGGUGCGGGUCGCCGGGGAGCGAGGAGGGUGCGGUUCGGGAACACGACGGUGAUGGAGACGGGCGCAGGAGAUUCGAGAGAACCAGGCGGGCCCCGCGCCAAGAAAAUAUUCAUGUAUUUAAAUAGCGCUGAUAAAAGUGAAAUCAAGUGUCUAAAAUGAAAUAGUUGUGAUCUUCAAGUCAUUUUAUUAAAAUAAAAUAAAUCAUAUGUUAUUUCAAAUUAUGAAUGCCAAGAUCUUUUAAUGAACAAACAUCAAACUCCGUGCUUUCAAUCACAACAGAAAAUAUUCACACCGAAUAAGUACGCGAAGCAUGCCUUAGGUAUAAAACUAGAUCGACCUUUUAGGUAACAUCGCAUUAGAGCAUAACCCCUUCGGUUCUGUGAGGUCGUGAGUUCAAAUCCCCACUAUGCAUAUGCAAUGGGAUAAAUCUCAUAUUAAAAUUCAAUGGGUUAAAUUUUCAUCACUUACCGUACCUGUCCAUUUCAUAUAUCUUUCAUAUCCAUCAUGCACGUCAGUAGAAACCACUUAAAUAAUUCACAGAGGUCUACCUUAGAUGUCACAAAAUUAUUUUCCUCAAAACAAUAAAAUAGCAUAUAAUAGCAGGGUGAGACAAAUACAUCAUACACUAAUCCCUAACAGACACAUACAAUGAUGCAUGAGUUGCAUUAGUGUAUACAUAAGAGUAAGUUAAAAAAUGGAGAAACCAAAGCAUUGCAAAACGUUCAAAACCAUAAAUCUUAGAUGAAGAGAGAUCACAGAAUUACAUGGCGCACAUAUAUUUAUGACGUUUUCGAUGAUGUAGCAUGAGCGUCUCCGCUGGUGCUGGUCUCGACUCGCAGACUAUUUUCCCUUCGAUAACUGCCUUUCGCACCCUGAUCAUAAUAUGGGGUGAUAAUUUUAGGGUAAUAACCAAGAAAUAUACUCAAAGAAGGGUUAAACAUAUACAAUCUUCUUUCAAGCAAUGGAUGUUUACUAAGAAAAUUCCGUCGUCAAUCGAUGUCCUCAAUUACUCAUCUGUUAUAAAUUUAUAACUUUGUUUUGGAGCUAAUCCAUUACGAGAUUCGACGAAUUUCGACAAAUAACAUAUGCUUAACAUGAAUCAUCUUGUACUUAGAUAGUGAUUCAGAGAACAUACAAGGUUGAUAAGAGAGAUGAAGUCACUCAAAAGCAUCACUUACUUGGAAUAUCGUUCCCAACUUCUUCAAUCCCCUCGCUCGUAACUUCAAAACGUCUUUGGAAACGGUGUGAUCUCUCAAAACCUGAGAGACAAGAAAAAAAAAAGUUUCGAAUAAAUCGAGCAGCACGCGGUCGCGAAUGCAUCCAAAGUAGUUUUCUCUGUAAGAGAUAAUAUACCGCUUGGCAGACAUGCGAAAGAGUUGUUUCGAUAUCGACCACAUUGAUUUUCCACAGUGAGUUGAUCAUUGCAUCUUUCUUCUCCUCAACGAUCUUAAGAAAGCUCUCUUCCUUAUUUUCGCUCUCUUCGAGCUUCUUCAUCCCCUCUUGCAGCUGUAUCAAUGAGACGGCCCCUAACAAAGAAAUGUAGUUUCGACAAAAUUAAAAGCGAGUUUGUCGAAAUGUGUAUUUGAAAAAAAAUGCGUCGGUAGCCUCGAAUGAGUACCUGAAGCUGCGUUAACUUGCGAUUUGAUGUGGUGACCUUUAUUUCGUACCCACUCGGCAAUAAAUGGUACACCCAUGUAAAGUUUGUUCUUCCCAAGCUCUCUCGCCGCUUGUCUUGCGUAGAUGUAACCAAUCGUAUGAAGCAUAGCCUCGCCAAAAGCUGAAAGAAUAAGGCAGUUUCAAGUCAGAAUCAAAGGAACGGCACUUUAUGUGUUCACAGGACUGCAAAUUGAUCGAGAACUACAAAUGGUCAUUGCUUGCAUUACAUGCUGAUGAGAUUCCAUGAUCAAUAAGUACUCAUUUUGUGUUGACUGUUGAGCAUAAUAUUAAGGCUAAAAUAAAAAAAAAAUUUCCUUGUAAAUAUCCACUUUUUUACUUUUCCUUCCUAAUUUUCAAAAAUCUAUAUUUUGUUUCCUCAAAAUUUUAAAAAUAUUUUUAGAGAAUUGUGACGUUCGUAAAGAGGGCGAAAUGGCCAAAUUGUCCUUACUUGUUCUACAGAAAUAUAUAUAUACACACACACACACAAAUAGACAUAAUAUAUAUAUAUAUAUAUAUAUAUAUAUAUAUAUAUAUAUAUAUAUAUNCCAAGUUAUCUCCUAUUUAUAGUGUUCAAUUUGUUGUUGGAGAGAAUAUUAAUAAGCCCCAUGAAUCAGCAUCCCACUACAGCGCCCCAUUUGCACUAGCUCCAUGGUGUUCAUGGAAAGGCCCCACAUAUGUGUGUGUGUGUGUGUGUGUGUGUGUGUGUGUGUGUGUGUAGAUACAUAUUUCUGUCAUUUUUUUAAGAAUAUUUUCCGUAUAAAUUAUAGACAGUGUCAAGUGGAUCCAUAAUAUAGGUUUCUAAAAAUCGAGAGAGAAAAUAAAAAAGCCGGUAUUUACAAGAGGAUUUUCUGUAUUUUAGCCUGAUAUUAAUUGUUUUUCAAUGAAAACGUCUUACAUAGCAGUUGACAAUUUCAUCUGAUGUUCGGAGGGUUGAAAAAUUUUACGAAUGCUAUACUAUGCUAGAGAGUUGAAGGAGAUGAAAAAUCUUAUUUAUUUUAAGAAAAUCCAAGUUACUGCCACAUUUUUAAGGUUACAUUUAAAAUCAUCGAUCUCUAUAUUCGAGAAAAAAGUAAUUUGAAAUGAUGACAAAUUACCAGCUUGAGACAAACGGCGAGCCUCCGCAUUCGCCCACUUCACAAAUUCAUCGUUCUUCCCUUCCACGUAGGGCUGAAGCCGGUCUUUCAGACUCUGAAUCAGCUUUUGUUCUCUUUCUUUUUGCAACUCCUGCACUUGGACAAAGAGAAUUAUUCAAUCAAGUUGAACAUUAUAACAAAAAAUAUUAACCACAAGAUUAAAACGCCACAAAAAGAAUAUUUUGUUAUCUAUAGCCUAAAAGCUACAUUUAAGCAAAAAGAAAAGUUUCUCUGAAAUGAAGACACUAGAAUUACAUGGACUCGAUGUUUAGGACUGUAAAAUGGAUUUUCAUUUUAAUGGCUAUUUUAAUCGUAACAGGAGUUCUCUUUAGUUCUUUCCUAUUACAAUUGGAAUACUAUCUUAGGGAAACUUUUAUCGUAAAAAGUUGAUUAAUAAAUCAAUUCCCAUCCGUCUCUUAUCAUAAGUCGAUUGUCGAAACAAUCAACUAAGUUUCUAAAAGAACUAGAUCUACUUGGUGUAUUAUCUCACCAUAAAAUGAUCUCUCUACUGACUUUAGUUAUGUCGCUGAAAAGGGGGUAAAUUGGUCAUUUUAGGCAGAAAUUAUGUGUUUUUUUUUCAAGCAGUCAGGGAUGGAAUUGCAACAUAUCAGAAUAUGCCAGGACUAAAGUUUUUCAGUGAGAGGUUCAAGGAAUAAAUCGCGAAAUCAAGCAUAAAUCUACCCAUGCAACUUACUAUCAGGUUUAACACCUUAAAGGCACAUUGCAAGAUACCUGCAUCUUCUCUUGAACUCUCCGAGCGCCCGGAGGUUGUGAAUCUUCUUCCAGCUCUACCGAAGCUAAGGAUGCUAGAGCAAGCUGACCAACAUAAUCUUCAAAGUAUUCACUUCCGAAUAACAUUCCGAAAACAGCUGAAGGAUCUACCAAGUUAUCCCUGAAGACAACAAUGUCAAUGCCCCCCUUUGUAAAAAUUUUCAGAACCUGAAUUUUCAUGUAUGCCCCCUUUACAAAAACUUUUCAAAACCAACUCCCCAAAAUGGGAAGGCUCCCAACCUUAAGAUAAUGGCACAUUCGUAAGAAACAGCAUUUUCAUAAGCUAUAUAUGAAAUUUCAGAUUUCAAGAUACUGUAACUCUCCAAAGAACUUUUAUGAGCAUGAAGUAACAUUAAAUAACUUGAUAAGGUUAAAUCAAACAGACUAUAACUUGAGGACUUACUGGGGAAGGCCUUCCUUUCCAUAUUUGUCGUACGCCUCGCGUUUCGCAGGAUCACUUAGGACUUGAUACGCCUCCCCAAGGACCUUUUAGAGCCCAUGCAAACAAUUAAAAUCAAUUUUAAUACACCUUAAAGAAUACACACUGUUUUAGUGAUACUUGAACUGGUGAAGUCAUUGUACUUCAAAAUUGAAACAAAUUGUAGAUGGAAAAGACUAUUCACCACAAAUAUAUAAUAAAUUAUCCCAGCUUAUCAAAAUCGAUCUAUCCAUGCAAAGAUGGCUUUUUAGAUGGCCAAAACGUCUGCAAAGAGAGAGCAAUUUAUUUUCCAUUACUGCAGGAAGAAGAAUGUUCUGCGCGACUUUAAUGGCUAGGAAGGGUUAUGUUUGACAAAUUGCAGGUUGGUUUCUGUUGAAGCAGUGAUUAAGAUCAGUGGCUAAAAUUUACCACCAAUUAGAGUCCAUUAGUCCAAUUAGAGUCAUUCAUGGAGUUGAUUAGUUAGUCCUGGUAGUGAGAUGUAGUAGUUGCUGGAAAAUAGAGAUGUGUUGAGUAAUAUCUCAUUUGCACAUAAAGAAGUUACUGAAGACUCCAGAUAUUCGGCUUUGGAGCCUACGAAAUCCAAAACAGCACAACAAAUUCAAUCUUGACUUGUUUAAUGUCCUACAGAGUAUUUCUAGUUUUACUUGCAACUGGUGUUAGUGAUAUGAAAUCAAAGACUACAGGAUCUACAGUAUAGUUCUGUCAUAUCGACAGUUAGGAGAACUACGCAACUCACCUGGAAAUUAUGAGCAGCUUUCGGAUCUCCAGGAUUUUUAUCCGGGUGUACCAACCUUGCCUACAAGAAGCAUAAGAAAAUAAAUAAGAAGAAAAAAAACCAGAAAAAGAAAAAAGAUUUGCUUAAGCAUACCCCAAAUAAAAAGCAUAAGCAGUUCGGCUCAUUUAAUGUUCAAAGUACUAACAACAAAGCGAUAAACAGGUAAUCCGAGAAAUCCGUAAAGUAGUACUAAUCUUCAGUUAAUCACUUACCCUCUGUUGCAGAUCAAAACACACAGUGUAUAUGCUUCAAUAGAAAAAUAUAAGCAAAAAUGGCGAUUCACAGCGAGAAAUGUCAACAUCACUGAUUCAAACAACUAAUAAUACUUUUUCCACCCCAACUAAAUUUCUUUCGAAGUGUCGAAUGAGUUCAUGAGUUCUUUCCCUCUUUACUUUAUUUUCCUAUUUCUUACGUCCUAGUGCACCUUGCAAUAUUUGAUAUCAUGGUAUUUUAGGCUAGAAAUCAAGUGCAUAUUUUAGUAACUUUGAUAAUUUAAAUAGAUAUGUCCAUUGUUGUAUUGCUAUCAAAGAAAAAUAUUAAGGUGACGCUCUAAGGCUCGUAUUCGGUGUAUCGAUUUACUCAAGAAGCAUACAGUAUUUGGUAAAUGUCUAGAAUGAAUAACAUAUUAAGCCUUCAAAUUUUUUUUCCGAAAUAAGAUAAAUCACCGUGCAGAUAAAUUCCUUUCAUUCAUGAGGAAAUCGAUGAGGAGAAACUCUCGCGUCCGCGGUUCUGAAGUCGAGAUGGAAUUGAUAAACUACCAAAACCUAUAACCCUAAUGGCAUGUUUGGAUCACUUAUUUUAGACAAUGGAAUUGGAAUGGAAAUCAUUGAUUCUGAUAGUUGUCUUUUCUUUUAUAGGAAUUGGAUUCCGAUUCCCAUUCCACUCCGGAAUGGGAAUGGCCAAAUCUAUUUAUGGCCCAAUUUGACUUUGAAUCCCGAAUUGGCCCAUUUCAAAGUAAACUAUUAAAAAUCCUCUUUCAUCAACAGCUACCUCCUCUCUCUUCUUCACUUUUCUCUCUCUUAAUCAAAAUCCUCUCUAAAAAAUUCUAAAUUUCUAUUCCGAUGUCCAUUCCAAUAACGAACCAAACAUUUUUGGAUGAUUCGUCGUUCCUUUUCCCAUUCCAAAGCAAUCCAAUUCCACUUCUCAUUCAUAUUCCAAUCAUGAACCAAACAUGCCCUAAAAGGGUCUAAAGAGGUCGGCUAAGUCGCGACAUCAGUAGAUGUCAAUAGAAGAACUCUAUUAGGAAAGGCACAGUAAUCAAUAUGACUUAGUGAUUCUUACAACUCCAGAGAUUAAAAAUGUCACAUUUUGAGCAAGAAAACUGUUGAAUUAAUCAAACAAAAAUUGAAAAAUUCAUGAAUGAGUUUGUUUAAUCACCUUGAGAUAAUAGGCCUUCUUUAUCUCAGCAGCAGAUGCAGUUUCACUCACACCCAAAAUAUCGUAAUAUUCCGUCUCCUUCACCAUGGCUCCAAAAACCUAAUCAACACUAUCUGCAAGAGAUUAAACAGAAACAAAAAAAAAAGACAAAUUAAUGAAUCGACACUCCCUGAAACAGCAUGCAAAUCAUAAACUCGGUGAAUUUUAUGGCGGAAAAGACGUUUCUAUGCUCAUUUUUCGCAUCCAAAAACUUCAAAAACAAAUUCAAAUAAUCGAAAAAACAUGAACAACAAGAAAUUAAUCUGAAUGAAACCCUAAAAAACAACACGGAAUAAAAGAACAACCCGGAACAGAUCUGUAGAGGAAUCUCUGAUUAGGAAAAAUAUAAAACAAAACGAAAUCGAUCGCACUGAUAAUUCAAAUGAUCUAUGAAUUUAACCUCAAAUUUCGAAGAUCAAUUGAUCCCCAGAUGGGAAAAUAGUCACAAAUCUCCUGAGACUGUGACUGUGCUUCCUCUGGGGAGAGAAGUAGAAAUUAGAAGGAAAAAAUAAAUUAAAAAAAAAAAAAAAGAGUCUAGGGUGCGUGGGAUGAUGAGCAGGAUGUCAAUGCGUACGGAUACGGAUAUCCGAAAUUUUAUUGGAACCCGAAUCCCAAGGUAGCGGAUUUAUUCGUUACUAAGGCUUCGUUCGGUUAGGAUAUAAACAACAAUUACAGGGAUAGAUACAAGUAUGGGAUAAAAAAAAUAGCGUUUGGGAUGAAAAUUAAAUUAUUUUCGGGAAUAAAAAAAAUAAGGUUUGGAUAAAUAAUAUGGAAUAAAAAAAAAAUAGUGGGUAGAUAUAUAUAGAAAAUAGAGGUGUUGGUGGGAAUGAUUAUACCAGCUUAUUUCAGAUAUCCGAGAACUACUAUUUUUAGAUAAAAAAUUUGUGUUUGGGUAUAAAGCGGGGAUAAGGGGUUAAACCUCCCAAUAUCCCCGAUCCAAACGCUAUCUAAACGAAUAUGAUUUCGGAUAUAGAUAUUAAAAAUAAAACUCUAAUGAAUAUAGAUGUGAAUAUAAAUUUUGAAUGUACCUGAUCCGAGCCGCAAUUUAUUUUACAUUAUAUAUAAUAUGUAUAUAAAAAUUUGAUGUUAUAUUUGAAUUUGUAUUUCAAAAAUUUAGAUUUAAUGUAAUAUAUUUUGAAAUCUUGAAAAGAGAAAAAAUUAUUUUGGGUUCAGAUUUGGAUAUAAAUUUUUAAAAUCUAUCGGGUUCAGGUUCUGGUUCAGGUUCAGAUUCAAAUUUUGAGUUUAGAGUCGGGUUCGGAUUCGGAUUUUUAAAAAUCUGUCUCGAAUCCGAUCGAUGACAUCCCUAAUUCCUAAUGAUGAGUUGUUUGCGUAUUAUUAUUAAUAGCAUCCUUUGUAGGAGGAAUAAUUUAAAACCUGGGUCGAACGGGUACGAUCGAUCGGACCGGACCGUGAUCUAGUUUAUAAGGCGAUUCGGUUUUAUUUUUUGAAUCGGAUAAGUCAAAAAGUUAUUUGGAGCUGAUCUAAUUGAAGGUCAGAUCGUUUUAAAAUUCAGCGGUUUAAAGUCAACUUAACUGAUUUUAUUUUCUUUUAGCACGGAUUAGUUUUAUAAAAAGUAAAAUUUAAAAAAUUAUAUCUGUUUAAUUUGGUUUAACAAUCAGUAUUUUAUAAUUAAAUAUCAUAUUUAAAUAAUUUUAUAUAGCAAAAUUAAAAAUAAUAACUAAAUAUUUAUAAUGUGAUAUUAAUGUAACCCAUUAAUAUUGUUGGAUUGCUACUCCAUCUGAUUUUUAAAAUAUUGAGAGAGAGAAUUAUUACAUACACCUGUCACAUAUUUUUGAGUUUAAUAUAUUAAAAAAAUAUUUUUUUUUAUUACUCAUCUUAUUCAAUUAUGCAUGACUUAGCAUUUAUUCAAUAAAGAAAAUACAAAAAAAGAUAUCCUAACUUUUGUCAAAAGUCAAUUAAAAGAGGACCACAACAAAAUAAAAAUAAAGAAGCAUAUUUUUAAUGUGCCCUAAAAAUCAAACAUAGUUUCAAUAAUAAUGAAUUUACAAUUACAAGAAUCGCAUUAAAAUAUACGAACUAAAACAGUAAAAAAAUAAAAUAUAUUUAAAAUUUGAAAUUAAAGUGUUGUUGGUUAACUCAAAUUUAGUCGCCAUAUCGAGACAUGUAUCGAUGCAAUGAUAGUGGAAGCGGUGUCCGCAAACCAAUAUGACAAAGUUCACGAGAAUCGGCCGCCCUUUCUCGAACUCCUCGAGGCAAAUCGGCCGGCAGCUGCAGUCGGUCGCAAGCCCUGACUCGACCACGCCGGUGAGAUGCGCCACCACCUUGACCUCAUCGAGUCCCUGCUCAGACCUGCACCGCGACGCGGCGCUGCGCACUUGCUCGGGGAAGUCCCUCCUGAAGGAUUCGAGCGUGCGUGGGGGCAGGUUCGCCAGGCUAGGAUCGGUCGUCGCUCACAAGCUUGGGUCAGCAUAUCUAACAAAUAUUUAAUCUUACAAUUCAAUGUUUUAGAUUAGACCUUAUCAAAAAUUCUAUGACAUACAACCUAGUGUUAAUUCAAACAAAAAAAAAGUGUUUCUGCACGUACGUAUCGCACUGAAUCGAUUACGACAUAUUUUCUUGUAUAAAUAUAGGUCAGAUAACAUGUCGACAUACAGGGCAGGUCGACGCGAGUUCGAGCCAUGUCCUGAUGCAACGAUAGUGAAAACCGUGGCCGCAGCCCAAAAGGCCGAAGUUCAGUAGCACCUGCUGCUGCUGCUCCUCCCCGAACUCGUCGAGACAAAUCGGGCAGCGGUCGGCUGCGAGCCCCGACUCGAUCGCGACGGUGACGCGCGCCACCACCCGCAGCUCCUUGAGCCCCCGCUCGGCGCCGCACCGCGACACGGCCUUCCGCACCUGCCCCGCAAAGUCCCUCCGCAGGGAUUCUCGCGUGCGCGGGGGGAGAAAGCUCAGCGCCGGCGCGUCCUUUUCCAGUUUCCGGAUGAACUGAUCCCUGCUAUGUCGUUCUGCGACAAACCGACGGAAAUCCCAACUCACCGCCGCCGAAGGGUAGUGAGUCCAUUCGACGAUGCGCGAGACACCGUCGAUCUCCCUCGUCCGUUUCACUUCGAACUGGAAUUCGAAUACGAGCAUGGGAGGAGGCGGAGGCGGCGGCGGCUUGUCGAGUUCGUGAUGCGUCGACCAUCCGACGCUGAUGCGCGGCGAGGCGCCGGGAACGUAGGAUGCCAUAUGAAUGCUCAACAAGUACAGUGGAAAACAUAGGCGGCAACAAAACCAUGAUACAUGAAAUUAUGAACACAAAAAGAAAGAAGAGCCUAUACUAUGUUUAUAUAUGUGUGUGUGUGUGUGUAUAUUUUGAAAUCUACAAAGAGAUUGGUGUGUUUGGUAUUUGCACUAAAACCUAAAGAAGGGAAAGAGACAAAUUUGGUUCCCCAAAGAUGAAAACUUUGUGUUUCUUGUGGUAUCUUUGUUUGUAAUUACUCUUGUUGUUUUUGCAUUUGGCAUUAUUAAUAAAGUUAAAAAACUUUUUUUAAAAAAAAAACUAUGGAAUCAUCUUAAUGUUUAAAAUUAGAGUUAAAUAAACUUUUUUAAUUUUUGCCCAUUUUAAGAUAGCCACUUAAAUUUCUCAUAUAUUAUUUAUUAUCUGAACUUUCAAAAUUAUCCGUGUAGGUUUGUAUUCUACAACUUAAAGUUACUAAGGCGUCGUCUGGAAUUAUAGAAAAACUGCAUUAUAUAGCAUGAGAUACUGCACUAGCAAAUCUAAAAAUUUUCUCGUAUGAAUCAAUAUAUAAGGGAGAAAAAAAAAUACAAAUCUUCUAUAAAAAAAUAAAUUAGUCAUUAAUAUUGUAUAAAAAAAUAUUAUUAUUUUUACAAUUGUUCUUUACGUAUCUUCAUAUUAAUUCUGAAAAUGGCGCAUGAUAGGCUUGUUGGAAAUACCGUCAAACACGUGUUUUUCUAUAUAAAUCAUCAAAAAUCGUUCAUCAAUUGAUUCAAUAUGAUUAGAAGAGGUGAAAUGAAAGAUUACAUAGGAUAAAGGAGAGUAGAAACUUUUUAUUACAAUCUUUUUUAACUUUUUACUACUGCUAAGAAAAAAAAUGCCCUUGUUUUUAUGUUGUUUGCAUGAAGUGAUGAUAUACGAUGAACCACGAAUGAUCAAUAAUUUUUAUUCUAAGACAAGUACUAGAAUGAUAUAUGAUUCAAAAUCUAGGGACUAAAUAUCAGCGUCUCAAAUGUCGAAAUUAAAAGUUUGUGGACCGGAGUAUUACUUGCACCUUUGGGUAUACGCGCGCGACACAACAAAUAUUUGACGAACAAUGUCUUAAGACUUAAAAUUAAAAUCUAAUUUUAUGAAUAUGAUUUAUACUAUCUAAAGAGGCUAUAUAUAAAAGUUCAUAUAUUUAUAAGGCUAAAUUAUAGGAAACCUCUCUAUAACUUCUACAUGACUCAUGGACACGAUAAUCUGUCCGCGGAUUAUCCAACCCGCCCGUUUGCCAAGUCUGACACGAAGCCAGACUCGACACGGCCCGAUCCAUGCUGUGCGAGCCGGAGGGACAUGUUGGGCUGUGACCCAUAUUAGGGGCCGGGCCUCAGGCCCGACCCAGCUCGGCUCAAUGUGGGUCGUGCCGGCCUAGUACGGCCCAUAUUAUACCCCUACUUGGAGGUUUAUUUAUUAACAACAAGUUCAAUUAUCAAGCCACUAGGAACAUCACUAUUAGCAUUAAUUGCAGCAAUUCAUCUACCAAAUCAUUGAAGAGAUCUGUAAUCAGAAGUCUCCUUGAUAUGUGAAAAUUAUCCACUCUUUGAUUGAUUGAGAAGGACUGUGGGACCCUUCUUCUUAAUGAAUAUCUCAUCUUAGAAGUGGCCUUGAUAUGUGAAAAUUAUCCACCAUUUGAUACUCAAUUGGUUGUUUCUCAAGCGGCGUGUGAAUCAUCACUAACCACCGUCUCGACUGUGACUGGACUCAUUCUGGUCUUCGACACGUGGGUAAAAUACCGGCAUUCUUCAGCAUCAGCACAUAUUACAGUUCAUAGAAAUCAAACUCGUAACCUACUCUGAUACUAUCUGCGGAUUGUUGACGAGAAAUGCACUUGAGAAGUUCGAGUCCAUACAAAAGAGGGCAACCAAUAUAUGGCCCUUCUCCGUCUUUUCCGCGUGGGCAGAUUGUCGGCAUAUCUGCCAACAUACUGAAAUACUUGCUCAUCUUCUUCUUCUUCUUCUUCUUCUUCUUUUCUUAUGAGUGUUGUAGUAUUUGUGAGCUUUUAUUUUUGUGUAGAGCUUGUUCAUCUUCUAUAUAUCAAACUUUCUCUUAUAGUGUGGUUUAGUGAUUGUUUGAUUGUACUUAAUUUGUUUUUUUAGAUAAAGUUGAAUUUAGAAUAAUCGCUUAUUUUUUAGAUACUAAUUGUGUGGAUAAAUGAAUUCCGGGCAAUGACAAUGAAAUUAAGAAAAAGAUCACCUUUUAUGUGGUGGAGAUGGAAUAAGACUUUUCCUUAAACUCAAGAGAAAACUUUAAAUACCAUUCCUGUAGUUUCACACGUUCUCAUUUUAGUACCUUGUGGUUUAAAGUAUACAAAUUUAGUGCCAUGUGAUUUUAUUUUUAUUUUUUUAUUAUCGAUUCCACUAUUUUUUUUUUUUGUUAAAUCAAUGACAAAAUUAAAACUAAAAUGUACUAAAGUGAAUAUUUGAUAAACUUACAUGAGGUAUCUGAAGUUUUUUGUAUAUAACUUAACGAAAUAUUAAUGAAAAAGUUGACGAAAAGAUAAAAAUAAAACCACAGGACACUAACUUAAUGUAUUUUAAACCACAAGGCACUAAAGUGAGAAAGUGCGAAACCAUAGAAAUGGUAUUUGAAGUUUAUCCUAAACUCAAAUAUAUACAGAUACUUAUGCGUACGUAUUUAUUAAAUUCAAUGUACUUGGUUAGACGGUUGCUUCUAAAAAAAAUAUCCAUUUGAUGUACGAAAAGAAGCCUUAACAUCUUUUUUAUUAGAAACCAUAAAGCAAAAAGAGCGAUAUUAAUGCUUUUAUUUUUUGUGACUAAUUGAUAGAUCGAAACCAGAAUCUCUUUAGACUUUAUAUUCCUCAACAACUUUUCUUAUAUCUCUUUAAUUGAAUAAAAAAAAAUUUACUUUAAAAGUCAGGCCGAACAAAUACAUACAAAGAAACGAAAUCGCAAUCACGCGAAAUAAGCCAUGUGAAGAGAGAGAAAGAGAGAGAGAUCUACAAUAAUUUCCUUCCAUUUAUAUACUCGAAGAAAAGCUAUUUCAAAGAUCAAACCAAACAAACACAUACGGAGAAAAAGAAAUAUUCUAUUUUAGAAAAUAAAUCAAUGAGAGAGAAAGAGAGAGAAGUGUGUGGACCAAAAACAGAGUACUUGUUCUUAAAAAAGAAAAAGAAAAAGAAACAAAGCUUAAACAAAUACAAAUGGUUCUUUAAUAAUAGCAGAACCACUAUUACGGCCGCCUCCCUAAUUUUCCACAAACCCCACAAUCCCAACCACUUCCAAAAGCAAUAAUAAUACUAAUAAAAAUUUACAAUACCAACUCUCUAAUAAAAAAACACAAACACUCUCUCUCUCACAUAAUUAUGGGUUGGUUCAGAUGCACCAAUCUACUGUACCCAUCACAAUUAUUAUUAUUAUCAUAAUUGUUGUUGUAAUUAUUAUAGUAAUUAUAGUGAUUAGUGUUCUCAUUAACCAUCCCAUUUAAUCCAUUAAAUCCAUUUAAUCCAUUGAGAUAUUGUAGGAUCUCAGUUAAGGAGCAGAGUCUAUUGGUGAGUUCCAGGAGCUGGGUUCUGAGAACAGAGUUCUCCCCCUGCAGGGCAGAUAAGUGGGACUCAGUGCUGCCCAGGGAGCAGAGCAGCUGCUGCUUCUGCUGCUUCAGGCAGCCCAGCAGGGAUUUCAGCUCCUCCAGCUGCUGCUGCUUCCGCUGGCGGCUGCGCCGCGCCGACUCCCGGUUCGACGCCAUCCGCUUCCGCCGCUUCACGUCCAUCUGCACCUGCAGCUCCUCCUCCGAUGACCCCGACGUCGUCGUCGUCGUCGUUGUUCCGCUAGAAGAAGCCAUUCUUUUUUCAACUUUUUGAGUACACAAAUUUAGAGAUUACGAGGUGUGUGAUAAUUCAAUGGAUCUAGAGCUAGUAGUAGUUAUUAUGUGAUUGGUUAAGUGGUUUUGGUGGUGGUGGUGUAAUUCGGAGAAAACAUAGAACCAGUAGAGGAAGAGAACAGAGAAGGAUUGAAAGAGGGGGGUUCGGCGCCGCAGGGAGGAGUUGAUCAUAAAACCCGAGAGCAGGAUCUCACUGAGGAUGAGCGGCAUCAAUUGGAAACAUCAGCAGGGAUUCAUGGUGUCCAUGUGAAACAAAAAUUAGAACACAAAAGAAAAAACAGGGGAAAAAAAAACAGGGGAAAAAAGUAGAUAAAAAUUGGAUUUUUAGGCUCAGGGAGAACAGGGGAAUCUUAAGUCAAAGCACCCAACUUUUUUUUACAAGAAUUUGUUUGUGUUUUUGGAUCUAAAAUCCAAAAACCUAUGGGGGAAAUUUUGGCAGAGUCUCCCCUGGAAAUGGAGAAAAUAACAGAGCAAGAUGAUAAUAAACCCCUUUAAUUUUGAUAUCAAGUUGAGGUUUUUCUCAUUUUUUUUUUUUCUGGAGUCCAAAUUCAAGAUGUGAUUUCUAGUUUUUGGACUUAAAAACUCCAAAAAAGAUUGGUGGAAAUUUUGGCAGAACCUCCCCUGUAAAUAGGAAGAAAUCAAAAGGGAGCAAAAACAGGGGAUUUAUGAUUAUGAAUAUGAAUAUGAAUAUGGAUAUUCCACCACCAAAUUAAGUGAGAUUCAGGGGAGGGGGGGAGGGUUUUGGGAUUAGGAAUCUUAAAAAUGAGACCCCCAAAAGAAACCCCAAAAAAAAAAGAGAGCAAAAAAACAAAACAGAGGAAACAGAGGAGCAGAGUAAUGGUAUGAGAGGAAACCUUACUAAGGGAGGAGAGGAGAGGGGGAAAAGGGAAUUGGGGAGGGGAAGGGGGUGGAAUUUAUAGAAGGGGAGUGGGAGAGAGAAAUUAUUUUAAAAAAGUAAAAGAUAAUAAUAAUAGUAGUUUAAAAAAAGAUUAAAAGAAAAAAAAAAGUAUUGAAUUAAAUUACAAAAAGGGUGGUGGGGAGAGAGUGAGAAAGGGAGAGAUUUGGAAUCUCCAAAGAGGGGGUUGUUUUUGUGUUUUGUUGUGUUGCAGUAAAAUUUUCAGUUGAUGACAUGUAUGGGAAUGUUAAAAGUAAAAGAGUUUGAUUCUGUGUACAACAAAUAUGCACUCUAUAACUACCCCAAAGCUCAUUGAGAUGGAAACUAUUAUUGUAUGAAAAUGAGAAAUGCUUCGAUACACCGACUAAUUUAAAUUGAGCCAUUUAUUUUUUUAAAGUUAAGAUUGACUUUUACGUAACGGUAGUCUGGUCAACAGGUUACUAAUCAAUUGUAAAAAUAAUAUUAAAAAAUAUAUAUUUUUAUAUUUUUAUGACGCAUAAAUUUGAGCUCCUCAUUAAUUAAAAAUAAGCGGCUAAGAUUAGAACGGAGUAUUAAAGCAUUGCUCCAGAAAAAUAUGUGGAAACUCUUUGUAAAAUAAGGAGCAAGUUUUCCACCAUUAACAACUCUGUGGAUAGAAUUUUUUUUUUAUACGUAUAUGAAAGAGGAACUUCAAGAGUUAUUAGAUCAGCUAUUCACAAUUGAUCUUGUAUUGAGAACUACAGAAUUGUGUAGCAUUUCUUAUACUGAGAGUUUCUUGAAGACGGAUAAUUAAAUCUGCACAUGCAUAUCUACGAGGUUUUGAUCUCCUUCUCGAUCUUCUCAAAUAUAAGUAGUUACGAGGCUUACAAUCAAUAAUUUAAGAAAAAAAAAAAUUAUGUCUUUGGUGGAUAAAGGGUAAGUAAAUUUUUCAGUUGAUGACAUGUGUGAAAAGUUGGAAGAUUUGGAAGUUUUUAAAAGUGAAAGAGUUUGGUUAUGGUACAACAAAUAUGUACUCUAUAACUACCAAAAGCUUGAUGAGAAGGAAACUAUUAUAGGAAAAUGAGAAAUGUUUCAAUACACUGGCCAAUUUAAAUUAAACCAUUCAUUUUUUAAGAUUAAGAUUGACUUUUACGAAACGGUAAUCUGCUCAACAUUUUACUAAUCAAUAGUAAAGUCAAUAUUAAAAAAUGUAUAUUUUUAUGACACAUAAAUUUGAGCUCUUUAUUAAUUAAAAUUAAGCGGCUAAGAUUAGAACAGAGUAUUGAAGUAUUACUCCAGAAAAAUAUGUGGAGACUCUUUGUAAAGUAAGGAGCGAGUCUUCUACCAUCAACAAUCUUGUAGGCAGGAUUUUUUUUAUACAUAUAUAAAAAAGGAACUUUAAAGAGUUAUUAAAUCGACUAUUCACAAUUGAUCUUGUAUUCGUAACAACAACGUUGUAUACUUUAUCUUAUAAUGAGACUUUAGACUAAAAUAAAUUUAUUUUUUCUACUUGACUUUAAAAGUAAAAAAAGUAAAAAGAAAAAAGAAAAGGUAAAAGUGAAAAUAAAAAAAAAAAAGGUGAGAUCUUCUUGGGGUUAAAAUUCUGCAAUUGUCCUGACUGGCCUAACUGGGAUUGAUUUUUGGUAAAGUUUGUUGGCCCACAAAGAAAGUUAUUUGUAGAAAUUAGUUUGAGGGUGGGGUUAGAGAAUAAUUUCACAUAUCCCCUCCAUACAAAUUCAAAGAUAUAUAUAUAUAUAUAGAGUAGGGCUGCUGUGCUCUCAGAAGCACAGAGGCCUCCGUGCUCCUGAGCCGUUUUCGAUGAUCGAAUUUUCAAAUCGACGAUCGGCUCCGUUAGACUUGAUCUAAGGUAUUUGAAGUUUCUAGAAAAUAAUUUUUGUGAUUUUUUGAUAUCAUUUACCUAGUGAUAGAAAAGAUUCAAAAUCAAUAAUUUUUAAUGGUUGAUAUCUGCCGUUUUCAAGUUUAANAAGGGUGUAGAAGUUUUCAAAUCAGAUGAAAUUUUGAUACAAAAUUCUUUAUACUAUUUGCAACAAGAUCAAUAUUUCUGAUCGAAAAUUUUAAUGCUAUAUCACCACUUUUUAUAGAAUUUUUAUUUUCAGCCGUUAAAAAUUAUUGAUUUUGAAUUCUUUCGAUUGCUAGGUAAAUGAUAUCGAAAAAUCGCAAAAAUUAUUUUCUAGAAACUUCAAAUACGCUAGAUCAAGUCUAAUGGAGUCGAUCGUUGAUUCGAAAAUUCCAUCAUCGAAAACAGCUCAGGAGCACGGAGGCCUCCGUGCUCCUGAGAGUAUAUAUAUAUAUAUAGAGAGAGAGAGAGAGAGAGAGAGAGAGAGAGAGCUAGUCUCCUAUACUCUCGAAAGUACGGUGACCUCCGUACUUGUAAGUUGUUUUCGAUGAUGAGACAUCCGAUUCGACGAUUGGUUCUAUUAGACAUGAUCUACGCUAUUGAAAUUAUUUAGAAACCAAAUUUCACAAUUUUUUGAUUCUAUUUUCCUAAUUAAUAAGUAGGCUAAAAAUGAAUGGCUAAAAAAUAAAAAUUUUAUAAAAAACAGUAAUAGAAGAUUUAAAUUUUAAAUCAGAACUAUUAAUCUUGCUAUUGACGUAAAGUAAAAUUUUUUGUUAAAGUUUCAUGUAAUUUAGAUGGUUCUAUACCGUUGAACUUAAAAACAUGCUACAUCGACCAUUAAAAUAGUUAUUUUUGAGAUGUUUUGAUUACAUGGUAAAUGAUAUUAAAAAAUUAUAAAAUUUGGUUUAUAAAUAGUUCCAACAGCAUAAAUUUUGCUUAACGAAGUCGAUCGUCAAAUCGAAUAUUAUAUCAUCGAAAAUAAUUUUCAAGUACGGAAGUCUCCGUAUUUUCGAAAGCACAUGAAACAUACUCUAUAUAGAAAUAUAUACUAUAUUUGACAAACCGGUUCAAUUUUGGUUGAACCACUGAUCCUAACCCCUCUCUCUUUACUAGUUCAAUGACCAAAUCGAUUCUCAAAACAUUAAUAAAUAGCAUGAGGUGAAGCUCAGGGUAUUUAAUAAACCAACUAACUAUGUAAAAUUAAUAACUAGGUAUAGUACACUUUAAAUGGGUCAAAGUACAUUUUAUUUCUUUUUUGAAAGAGCUGCAGACAUAGUGAAUUACAAAUUUUUUCAAUAUGCCGCAACUUAUAUAGGACUCUUAAUUUAUAGUCCAACUACUCAUAAUAUAAUAAAUGCGCCGUAAAACAAUAAGGGAAAAACUUUAAAUACCACCCUUGUGGUUUCGUACUUUUUCACUUUAGUAUCAUGUGGUUUAAAGUGUGUCAAUUUAGUACCAUGUGGUUUCGCACUUUUCACUUUAGUAUCCUGUGGUUUAAAGUAUAUCAAUUUAAUACUUUGUGAUUUCAUUUUUCUCUUUUCGUCGGCUCCUUUAUUAAUUUUUCGUUAAAUUAUAUACAAAAAACUUCAGAUACCCUACCUAGGUUUAUUGAAUAUUCACUUUAGUACCCUUUAGUUUUAACUUUGUCACCUAUUUUAUUUUCCUCCGUUUAUAUUUCGUUAAAUUUUAUACAAAAACUUCAGACACCCUAUCUAGGUUUAUCAAAUAUUCACUUUAGUACCCUUUCGUUUUAACUUUGUUACUGAUUUAACGAAAAAAAUUAGUGAAAUGGAUAAUAAAAAGAGAAAAAAUGAAACCACAUGGUACUAACUUGAUACACUUUAAACCACAAGGUACUAAAGUGAGAAAGUGUGAAACCACGGGGGCUAACUUGAUACACUUUAAACUACAGGAUAUUAAGGUGAGAAAAUGUGAAACCACAGGGGUAUUUAUAGUUUACACAAAAAUAAGAAAUAUACUACCUAUACAUGGUAAUAUUUUAGUUUAAUUUUGGAUUGAAAAAACUGAUCCAAACUGAAUAACCCAACUGUACAUUUUUAUUUGUAUAUACUUAUGUAUCAACAAAUAUUUGUACAAAUAGAUAUAUCAAUUAUUAGUGAUUUAACUUUUCAAAAUUCAAUUCAGGUCAAUUAGAAAAUAACCAAUCAAUAUUAUCAUCUAUAAUAAUGAUUAAUAAAUUAUAUCUUGUGGUAUCUUAACUGAACGCACAUGGCACUAAUAUUCUUUUAGAGACCGUUUGAUUACACGUAGUUACAACUAGAGUGCAUUUGUAACUGCAUAGUGAUCUAAAUCCGACGACUACUGUAAUUGCAACUGCAUAAGAAGGCUCACCUGCAGCAUUUGAAACUACGUCCAGAUUGGCCACAAUUUGAACUGCAGUUUUCGAAAAGAAUAAUUUUAAAUAAAAAUAAUCUUACCUCUUUGAUAAUCUUAUAUAGAGAGAGAGAGAGAGAGAGAAAGAGAGAGAAAGUCCGGUUACUAUCGAGUUUUUUGCCGUUAGAUCUAUCCUUUGAUCAUUCACUCUUUAAAUUAUACUAUUCAACCAAUCAUCCACUCAAUUUUAGGGGACUACUAUCAUCCUAUCCGCACAUCCUUUUAUCCAAUGGCCGAAAAUUCGACAUUACCAAACGCUUCGUACUAUUAAUAGUAUAGUAGCAUAUAUAUAUAGAGUUGAGCUAGAAUACUUCUAAAAGUAUCAAGAGGAUGGUGCUUGUGAGUUUUUAACCCUUGGAUAGAGAAAUGUAGGGUUGGGAUGAUGGUGGUAGGUGGUGGUAGGUGGAAUAGUGUUUGAUCCAAGAGCCGAUAGUAAUCAAGGAGUAGAUCCAAGGACUAAAAACCUAAUAGCACCAAAGGAGUGAUACUUGUAAAAGUAUUCUAGCUCAAUUCUAUAUAUAUAUAUAUAUAUAGUAGGACUACUAUACUCUUAUGAGUAUAGAGCCCUUCAUACUCAUAAGUUGUUUUCGAUGUUGGGGUUUUCGAAUCGACGUUCCACACCGUUAAACAUGAACUAGAGUAUUUGAAACUUCCAGAAAAUAAAUUUUGUAAUUUUUUGAAAUUAUUAUAAAGUCCAUUAAGCGGGUAUAAAAUGAACGGUUAAAAUCGAACGACAUCCUAAAAAUGGAUGAUCGGAUCCUUCAAUUUAAGAUCAGAGUUAUUGAUCUUUAUUUAAGUAAUGAAUAGAAUUAUUUACAAAAAUUCAAUCUAUUCCAAUUCUUUUCACCGUUAAACUAGCAAAUAUCCUUACCGACCGUUAAAAAUUUCAAUUUUGUGACCUUUUGAUCGUAAGGUAAAUGAUGUCGAAAAAUUAUAGAAAUUUGUGAUUUAUAGACGAUUUUAAAUGCUCUAAUAAUGUUUAACUAUAUGUGGGCUCUAUCAUCGAAACAACUUAUGACUACGCAGGCGAUCGGUACUCAUAAAAGUAUAGUAACCGGACUCAUAUAUAUAUAUAUAUAAUAUUAUAUAAUAUUAUACUAUAUGAGAGAGAGAGAGAGAGAGAGAGAGAGACGAGAGAGAGAGAGAGAAGAGAGAGAGAGAAGAGAGAGAUCUGACUGGGACACAAUCGAUAGCCUACAAGGCUUAAUACUACCGAGUUUUCUACCGUUAGAUUUAACCCUUUGACUCUUUUCACCCUUUAUACUCAUAAGUUUUUAGCCGUUAAUUAGAUGAAAGGAUGUACGGUUAGGAUGAUGUACAGGUGAAAAUGAUCAAAAAAUUAAAUCUAACGACGGAAAACUCGGAAGCACCAAGUGCUUGGUGCUAUCGAUAGCACAGAGAUCUCCGUGCUACUAAGUUAUUUUCAAUGAUGUGGCUUCAAAAUCAACGAUUGGCUGACAAUAUAAUAGUAUGAAGUGCUUGAAUACUAUUGAUAGCAAAAAAAACUUUUUGCUAUCAAGUUUUUAACCCUUAGAUGAGAAAUUAUAGGGUUAUGAUGAUAUUAGUCCCGUAGGGUUGAGUGGUCCUCCUAAGGUUGAGUGGUCCCUACUGGAUUAUAAUAUUUAAUCCAAUGGAUAGAAAUGAUAAAAAGAAUUGAUCCAAAGGAUAAAAACUUGAUCGCAAAAAAGAGCUUUUCCUAUCAAUAGUAUUCUAAUCCAACAAUAUAUAUAUAUAUAUAUAUAUAUAUAUAACCAGGCUAGAAUACUAUCAAUAGUACCAAGCUAUUUGUGCUAUUAGUUUUUUAACCCUUGGAUUGAGAAUUGUGCGGUUAGGAUGAUGUGGGCUAUUAGUUAUAUAUAUAUAUAGAAUUAGGCUGGAAUACUAUCAAUAGCACCAAGCUAUUAGUAUGGGCCCCCUAGGGUUGAGUGGGUAGUUGGUUGAAUAGUAUAAUCUAACGGAUAAAAAUAAUUAAAGGGUUAAAUCUAAUGGUGGAAAACUCGAUAGCACCAAGCCCUUGGUACUAUCGAUAGUAUCCCAGCUGGACUAUAUAUAUAUAUAUCAACGGCUGAAAAUAAAAAUCUUACAAAACGUGAUAAUAUAACAUUAAAAUUUUAGAUGAAAGAUAUUGAUCUUGUUUUAUAUAGUAUAAAGAAUUUUCUAUCAAAAUUUCACAUGAUUUAGAUAUUUCUAUACCGUUAAACUUGCAAACGGCUCACUACGGCCAUUAAAAUUAUUGAUUUUGAGCCCCUUUGAUCACUAGGAAAAUGAUAUUGAAAAAUCAUAAAAUUUAUUUUUUAGGUACUUUAAAUACUCUAGAUCAAGUUUAACGGAGCCGAUCGACGAUUCAAAAGUCGCAACAUCGAAAACGACUUGGAAGCACGGAAGCUCCGUGCUUCCAAAAGUAUAGUAGCCCCACUAUAUAUAUAUA
rnacentral:lncRNA from 1 species